rnacentral:lncRNA from 1 species
CACCCUCCAUCUGUGCCUUCCUGCAAAUUUCUCCCAUAUCCUUGACUCUGUUCCUCAGGUGAUUUUGACUGUCCAUUAUGCAUCUUAUAGCUCUCUCCAUCUCCUCUGCCUUCACAAUUUCACGAUGAUCACUAUCAUGCAUCCUGUAAUCCAAUCUCAGCUCCACUGCCAUCUCAAGAUCUCUCACCAAUCGAAAUGCAUUCAUGCUUUGUUCUGCAUAAAUCGGCCAUGUAACAAUUGGAACUCCAUGCCAUAGACUCUCUACAGUCGAAUUCCACCCACAAUGAGAUACGAAUGCUCCAGUGGCUUUGUGCUCCAAGAUACCGACUUGGGGUGCCCAUCCACAUACUAUUCCUCUAUUUUUUUUCCUCUCCAAGAACCUUUCUGGCAAUAUCUCCUCUAAUUUUGUAGUUUCAGUGUCCACAGGAAGACGUAUUGACCACAAGAACCUAACCUCACUCCGUUCAAGUGCGAUUGCCAUCUCGAUUAGCUGUGGUGGCUCAAAAUUACCUGUGCUUCCAAAGCAUAGGAAAAGAACAGAAGAAGGUGGCUGCUGGUCUAGUCAUUUCAUGAUUUCACCAUCUUCAGACUUGGAAUUUCCCGCACCUGUUUGACCCUCGGGGUCAAGAAGAAAUCCUACUGUGUAAAUCGGGUGUAAUUCAGGAUCAGCUGCUAAGUUAUUGACAGCAUGACUUUCUAAUUCUGCAACUGUGUUGAUGAGAAUUUCUUUGGUUUCUUUGAACCUGACACCAUGGUCGUGGAAUGAAUCGUAACCUUCCUUGACAAAUGCAAACUUAGGCAAGACUUUUGAGGGUACUGGAUGAGCAUAGGCCGCUAUCUUUAAAUCAGUAUCAGAUCGGUUAAAUUCUCUCCCAACUUGAUCAUGCCAAAUGGACAGGUAAAACAGAAAACCAAUAAAACCAGCACCAGAAGUGAAGAAAAGAUAGGAAGGAAUGUCAAGUUCAUUUGCCACAUCAAUCAUUGAACUACAAAACAUAUCAAUAACUAGUCCAACAAUUUUCAUGUUCAAAUCAGACCACUUGUUGCUAACUAUUGCUUCCUUGACAAGGGGUCGAUAAUUUGCUAUAAAAAGAGAGAUGUAAUUCUCAAAAGACUUAGCUAGUUCUUCUGAAGAUGGCGGUUCAACUUGAGGAAGUAUCAUAUAUCUAAUUUGACUGCCCUCGGUAUCAUAGGAGCUUCGCCUGAUGUAGGCAUCUAUGUGGGCAUCCCACAGUGGAGGUGGCCUUAUAAUUAGAAUUGUCACACAUAGCCUUUCAUCUCUUUUAAGCAAGGUCUCUACAAACUUGCAUAGCAAAACUAGGUGACCGAUGGCCGGGGCAGGCACAAAUACCAGCUCUAAUUUGCUCAUUUUUGGAACAAGCUAAUUAAUCAAAAGAUGAAAAUGUUUGAUGAUAGAAGAAUGGAUGUAUGAAUGUUUUUGUAGUGGUGGUUCUGCCUUUUUCUUUGAGGGAUGUUAGUUGGAGUACAACCCUGAAAUGAUAAUAGUCAACCCAUGUUAUAAGAUAUAAGAUAUGAUUCUAAUUUGAUCAUUGGUUAGGUAUUAAACAAAGACCUAUUAUCUACUGGCUUAUGACAGGUAGGCCUUAUCUUUAAAUAGAAGUCGACAUGUUAACUUUCUACAUCCCCCAUCUCAUUUUACUUGGCCCCUUACUAAAAACAGAUGUAUUAAUUUACUUGUUCAUUUUCGCAAAUCAAGAGGGUUUGUUACUCCCUCCGUUCUUAAAUAUUUGUCAUCCUUACUAAAAAUAGAUGUUCCAGAAUACUUGUAAAAAAGGGCAGCCCCAUUCACUAAAGCUACCGCUAUGGUGUAUUGUACGCAGCCUUACCUUGCAUUUCUGUCAGAGGCUGUUUCCAAGGCUUGAACCCGUGACCUCCUGGUCACAAGAAUACUUCCAGAAUACUUGUCAUUUUAGAAAAUCAAGACAUAGUUAAGUAUAUUCUUCUCAUGUUACCCUUAACACGUUUUCAUUUAUUGAAGAGAGAUCACAUUUUCCAUUAACUAAAGAGAAGUGAUUAAAAAGAAUUGAAAAGGGUAUGAUGGUAAAAUGCACUGUUUCUCAACGGGCAUGCAACCAAAGUGUGACAAGUAUUAUGGAACGGAGGGGGUACUCUCUUUCCAUACUACCCCUAGUAUUAAAUAGCUAAAGAAUCUAAGUUAGAGUUCAAAAACAUUGUUGAUAAGGCUAGUCUAGUAAAAAACACCUCGAGUUAAAGUUUUCUCAAGGGUGUAUCAAGUCAACAUGAGCCAAGUAAAAUGAAACGGGGGAGUAAUUAUCAUAAGAAUAACUGUGACAAAAUUUGUUUCCUUGAAUAUGUGGUGAAGAGGUUACUUAACCGUUUCUGUUUACCUCUAAAUUAGUCUAUUUAAGCUUCUGACUGGAUAAUCAAAAUACGUGAAACUCUAAAAAAAGGGUAGCCUGGUGCACUAAAGCUCAUCCGCACAGGGAAAUUCUCAGCUUUUCCCUAAGGACUAGGUUGCGCUGAACCUGGUUAAAUCAUUGUGUUAUUUUUUUUUCUUCACUAUUUGCUUUGAUUGUGUAUGUGCUAGUUCAUUCACAUUCUUCCCCAACAGGUACUCAUGGCGCCACCAAAUCGUCUGCUUAGCCAAACAUGGCUAUCGUGCUGUGGUGCCUGACUUGAGGGGUUAUGGAGAUACUACAGGUGCACCCCUUAAUGAUGUUCCAAAGUUCAGUGUCUUUCACCUUGUGGGUGAUAUUGUAGCACUGAUUGAAGCCAUAGCUCCAAAUGAAGAUAAUGUUUUUGUUGUUGGACAUGACUGGGGUGCCACAAUUGCUUGGCAUUUAUGCCUUUUUAGGCCAGAUAAAGUUAAAGCCUUGCUGAAUUUGAGUGUCCAUUUUCCCAGAAGGAACCCACAGAUGAAUAUUGUUGAGAGGGUAAAGGCUUUCUAUGGGGAAGAUUAUUAUAUUUGCAGGUUUCAGGUUCUCUCUGUUUGUCUGUCUGUGUAUCAGUUUGAUUUGUGUACUUGUAUGAUGCCGCACCCAUGUCGGAUUCCCAACAACUACUUCUGGAGAAUCAGAAGCGCACCCAUUGACACUUUUGAAGAGUCCGAGCAACAAAUUAGGAUAAAAAGAAAAAGACUUCAUUUACAAAAUUAAUCAGUUCCGAAAUAAAGGCAGUGCAUUAAACUCUCAUGCACACGGGGUUUGGGCUGCGUCAGAGGCAGGAUUUUUACCAAGAGUUCAUCAUCUACCAUAUGUACAAAGAGAAGUAUUGACCUUGUAUAUACGAUGUCAGUUUACGGCAAAUGGGAUCCGGAUGAACCCCUCCCACCCUUGGCCAUUUGGGGAUUGCCAGAUCACACAGAGUCUAUUAUAAACAGUCUUACCUUGUAAUCAUAUACUAAACACAACCUUUUUAUUGCAUUUCAUCGCCAUAACUCGUGACAUAUAAGUAACCAAAGAAACAGCUUUAUAAAUUUGAUAUAUCCAGGAAAGUGCAAGAUUCAUUGUAUAGUAAUAAUAGGCUACCGUGCUUUUACAUAUCUUUUUAAGCCACAAAAUGGCAAUAAACAAAAUUAUGUUGGUCUUCUUGAAUUGAUUGAACCAAAGAUUACAACCCAGUAGGCACAGCCUAUUUGAAAGUUCACUAUGAUCUUAACCUGCAGGUACCAGGAGAUAUCGAAGUUGAAUUUGCUCCAAUUGGUGCUAAGUCUAUUCUUAAGAAAUUUUUGACGUACUGUCAUUCUGAAUUUUAGUUGCUUUAAAAAUUGCAUUACGUUUGAUCUUUUUAUCAAGAGACUUUUUGUUCCACUUAGAGACUUGUAUCUUUGUAUAGAAAUAAUUAUGUGAUUUAGAAAGUUUCUAUCUUUACAUUUACCUUAAAAAGACAAACUACUUAGCACUUAUUAGAAUGAAACAAACCUAAGAAGAACAGAAUAGAUACAGUGGAUUCAUAUUAGUCGACACCAACUAGUUUAGAAUUGCGGUAUAAUUAAUUGAUAGAUAUACAUUAUCAUGCUUUCUUGAAAGUCAACUUUUUCAUACACGGAAGCUGGCCGAGCUUAUAGCUUGUUCAGCCAAACUUCUAGAAGUUUUUUUUUAAAAAGGAAAUUCAAAGAAGUGUUUAUUUCAUAGAUUUGAGGUGUUCGGCCGAACUUUUAGGAAAAAAUAUGGGUGCUUUUAGCAAAAAGUAAUUUUCAUAAGCUAAAAAAGUAGCUUUUUCUAAAAGCACUUCCGGAAAAAUUGAUAAUAUUACUUUUCAAGUUGAUUAGCUAAACACAAACUGUUACUCUCCAAAAAUACUUUUUUUUUGUAAAGCUCUUCUUAUAUAUGAAAAAGAUACUUCUCAGAAAAAGUACUUUUCAAAAUAAGCUAAUAUUGAAAAUUUGGUCAGAGACUAUUAAAAGACACUUAAGUUGCCUCAAAAGACAAAUUACUUGGUAUUAGAAUGAAACGAAUCUGAAUGGAGCAGAAUCAAUACGGCGGACCAUACAUUUGAACCUAGCAAAUCUGUAAUCGACUCAUAGCAAAUUGACUGAUGUAAAUUUUUACGUUUUCUAGGAAGUCAAGAAAAUUGUAGACAAGAGGUGCUGCUCGAAUGGUCAACAUCCUCCACCUCCAACUCUAAAGUUGUGGGUUUGAGCCACCAAGGAACCAAAAAAGGUGGAAGCUCUUAGGAAGGAGUAAAAAAGAAAAGAGUCAAGACAAUUGUGAAGUUCAUGAACACCAACCUUUUAGUUGCUUGACUGUCUUAAACACAACUUCUUCAUAAAUGGAAGCUAGCAGUGCUUUAGUCCCUUUGUCAAUUACUUGACCUCCAAGUUCUCAUUAGUCAAGAAAAUGACGUUUUUUAUGUAUAUUUGGGAUUUGAAGUUGGAGUUGCCCAAUGUUUACAUCCUAAAAUUCUUUGACUUAUGAAAUGCGGAAACUGGGAACUCACAGCACCAUGGAAAGGUGCUCAAGUUAAAGUUACAACCAAAUUUGUCGUCGGGGAAUUCGACUUGGUCUAUCAUAUGCCAGGUGUUAAAGAGUACAUACACAAUGGUGAAUUUAGAAAAGAUGUCCCAUUGUUGGAGGAAGUUGUGGCUUUGGAAGGUGCAGCUCACUUUUUCAACCAAGAAAGGCCGGAUGAGAUUAACAAGCACAUCUACGACUUCAUUCAGAAGUUCUAAACUUCCUCUUUCCUUUGCAUUUGCUGGAGAAAUACGAUCUCAUUAAUGUUGCUCCUGUUACUUAUGAAGAAAGGAGUAGUAAUCUAGACUUUGAGGAGAGAAGAUAGAAUAAAUUAGUCUGCAACAUUUUUGUGUAAGCAGUGUCUUUUUUGUUGUCGUAAUUUGGCUUGUAAUUAAGUUUGAAUUUGGAACAUUGUGAUAGCAAAGUUUUACUCUUCCAUUACAAACUGUGUCCCUCGUCUGAUUUAAUGACGGAUUAGUGAUGAAUUAUCUGCAAUUUAUGUUAGCUACGGAUAAUUUAACACCAUAAUUUGGAUUGUAAGCUCAUUUGUGGACUCACAUUGGGAAUGUUGUUAUGGUAAUUUGGCUUAUAAGUUGGCUUGAGUUGGAACAUUUUGAUGUUAAGGAACUUAACGACAUAAUUUGGCUUGUAAGUUCCCCAUUUCUAGAACCACACUGGGUAUGUUGUUGUUGUUGUAAUUUUGCUUGUAGGUUAGUUUAAACUUGGAAAGUUUGGAUGUUAAUGCUUUAGUAUUCCAUCACAAAUUCAGUCACUAAUUCGAUUUAAUGUCGAGUUAGUAACAGAUUGUUAGAAAACCAUAGUAAGCUACCAGCCGACUGAUUAUCGACAAAUUUCGUAGCCAAAUCUUUUUUCUUUUUCGUAGUGUGCUAUGUACAAACUCUGUUAUGCUUCUCUUCCUAGCAUGUACAAAAAUAGAAUGUCAUGCUUCUUUAUUUAGAAAUAAUUUAACUUUAAAUUUUUAUCUUAUUGUUAAGAUAAUUUAUAGUCACAUAAAUAUCUAUGACCUAUUUUAGACUAGGGAAAAGGUUCAAAUAUGUCACUGAACUAUCAAAAAUGACUCAUUUAUGCCAUCCGUUAAAAGUUGGGCUCAUUCAUGCCAUCGCGUUAUAAAACCGGUCCAUCCAUGCCAUUACUUUUUAACGGUGUUUUUCUAAAAAACUGCUUUGCCACGUGGCCUCUUAUUAGAGGUCCAUAUCAUUUUUUUCUAGUUUUGAUCCAUUAAGAAGAAUUCACCCACCCAACCUAUCACCUUAACCCACUUUAAUAUUACUCUUAAUUUUGACCCUAGAUUUGAACAUAUAUAUAAUCAUUUAGUCUUCGAACAUGAAAUUUACAUACUUGAAUACUACGUUUAAAAUAAUAUAGGUUAGAAUAAUUAAUAAUUUAAAAUGACAAAUGAGUAAAUUGUGAUUAAAAAAUAAUUUGUUUUGACUCUCGAAAUCGGAAAUCAUCACAUAAUUUAAGAUGACGAGAAUACCACAUACAUGAAAGACCACAAUUUUUAAUUAGGAAGAAUACCUAAAAAUCCCUUCUAAAUUUGAAUUAUAAGUCGUAUAAUUAAAUUAUUGGUAGUCUUAAUUAUUUCAUGGACUUGUUAUUUGGUAGCCUUUAUACUCUUUAACGUGGACGAGACAUAGAGCAUAAUUUAUAAAAAUAUUUUUCAAUUUUAGUUAAUUCAAAAUUUCUUUUUUCUCAAAAUUCCAUGCCCAAUCAAACACCACAAUACAAAUUUGGACAAAAAAAAAUAAAAAUUUACAACUUAAAAUCUUAAGCUAAUCAACAAACUUACAUCUGACAAAUGAUCUUUGUCCUAUGGUUUAAGAUGAUCUAUCAUUUCUUACUUCUAGACUAUAUAUAGUAUCAUUUUGAUUAACCUGCUUAAUUCCUUAAUAAACCAUACAUAGAUAGCUCUAUUAACUUCAAUUUUGGAUAAUGUUUAUCUUUCACUUUAGUGUUUCACUUUCCUAAUGGGCAACAAGAAAAAAAAUAUUUUGUUUUGUUCUUAUGAGAACUUAAAGAGUUUUUUUCUUUUUAAUAAUUUGAAAAACUAUGUAAUUUCCAAUUUUACUAUUGUUAUACAUUUGGAAUUUGAAUCUCAUUCAAUUUUAAUCUUUCAUAAAAAUUAAAGUUUAAAAAGUUGAGAAGAUGACAAAGCAAGAGUAAAUAGAUAAGAACAGGAAAAAUCUAACUACUAGUAGAUAAGAUUCAGGAAAGAAGACGACUAGGAGAAGUCAAAAGAUAAGAGAACAAGGAUAAAUCUACUACAAGUGAGAUCAGAUUCGCGAUUCAAAUUUUAUGAUAAGCCUAAAUUCAUUUAAUUUACUCUAUUCAAAAUUAAUUAUUUUUCCUUUUACUAGAAUUUCACUCAAAACUAUUGAAUCCAGAUAAGAUCAUACUUAUAACUUUGCCCUAACUAUAAAUUAAACUAGACCAAUUUGUAUGUAUAUAAAUACCACUCGAUCAGGCAUGAAGGAUAUACUGAAGAAAAAAAAAUACAAAAAGUUAUGAGCAAGACAGAACUAAGUGUAGUACUUGAAGGCGAAAAAGGUAUUGAUGGAACCAAAGGAAACAUGUCACAAAUAGUUAAUAAAGUUAGUAGCCCAAUCAAACCCUGUUCCGGAAAGAAAACUACCUGCCGUUUUCUUGAAUUUUGUUUAUUUUGCAAGAUGAAGUUGUUACCCGAGCAAAAUAUCUACAUGUACAAGUGAGAAUUCUCCUGAUUAAUUUCUUUUUUUCUUUUUUCUUUUCCUUCAUCAUCACUUUAACUUGCAUAAUUGAGAAAGUAAUUUUUGUCAUGAUAAAAAUUUAAGUUGAAGGUUAAAUAUGUCGAAUCAAAAUUUAUUCAAAAUUGAGAGACCAAAAGUGUUAUUACCCUAAAGUUUAUAAUUAUUGUUAUCGUGAAUUGGUAUUUUGUUCUGAUGAUAUAUACUUAAAUGGGCAGUGAUAAGCCAAUUUGUACCAAGGAGUGCAGGAGAAAGCAUAUGUUUAAGGAUGAACAAGAAACAAAGCAGAAAAAGCAAAAAUUGGCAGAAUUGAUAGCUUCAUCUUCUUCGAAGAAUUCAAAGUCAUGCUUUAAUCCGAUGUUCUAUUUAACCUUCUAGUGUUAUCCUUGCAAUAUUUUAUUUUGUUCCCUUUUGUUUCUUAUAUAUAUACGGGUGUUACAAGCGAAUUCAGGAUUUGAACUUUUUUAGUCCGAAUUUAGAAAAUUCCAUUACCUCCAGUCUAAAAUACUUAGUUUGAAGUCUAUCAUUUAUCCUUAUUUAGAGCUCUUUUAAUGAUAUAUAAAAUAACUUUUUUUCAAGGAGUAGAGACAUAUUCUAAACCUUUUAUCACAAAGAGGAUAAUUUGAGAAUAACAAUCUAUUUUUUCAUAGCCUCCAAGUGAUAGGGGCUAGUAGUUGUUGCGAUUUGAUAAGCACACAUUUUGUUGUGUCAUUGGUCUAGUAUUUACGCAAUGGUUCAAAGAUCAUUAUUAAUCUUAGAGCUUCAAUGAAAGUAACAUUCACACAACCGUGAGCCAAUAAGCGAACUCAUUUAAACAGUUGAGUGAUAGUUUAACUAUUUAAAGUUAGAGUUAAUUAAUAGGCCAAAUAUAUAAAUAGCCACAAAAAACUCGUCUAAAUAUUUUAUCGAACCACCUAAACUAAGUCGAUGACCAUUUGAACAUCUAACCUAUUCUCAAACUGUGUCAAUUGAGCACAUAUAUCAAAAUGCAGCUGGGUAAACUAUAUUCAAUUUAUUGGGGUCACAUAUACUAGAGAUAUAACAAUUAUAUAAACAAAGACAUCCCACUCCACUCUUUUUUUUUUUAAGAUAAGGACGUCUUUCAUCCACUCAUUAAAUUCAUAUUUCCUCACCCACUCGAAUUAGCAAGAAGAAAACAAAGAAUGAAUCAGAAAUGCUUACAGAAGGUAAGAGAAAAUGUGCAGCGACGUGAAUUUUCGAGUAGAUCUUUGUAGCUGGGAAUUUUCAAAUAUUGUAACAUCAUCAUCAUCCGCAUCCCUAUCAAUGUCACCACUGAGCUCAAUCAGAUUCGAAUAGAAGUACAACUUUUGAAUCCAUAUAGAAGUACAAAGUGGUUUGGUUGAUGCAUCAUAAAUCUAUAGAUCAAAUCAUCAAACUAGUCAAACUUUCAUUUUCAAAGAAAGCAAAUAUUCGAAAAGCAUAAUGAAGAACAAGAUUUUCCAUCCUAGCCAAACUUUAUAAUCUGUAAGUAUCACACAGGAAGAGAAGGAAAUAAAACAAUUGACGACACAGCAGCAAUUGGUUAAAUUGGUUGGCCACUUUCUAUGCUAUAGCUAUAACACAAGUACCAAUGAAACUGAAAUUGAUAAUGAACUAAAUAAAAUCUUGGCAAUGAAUAUGUUCAGUAGAGAACAAUCUGAGAUGAGAAACCAAGAUAUUUUAGAGAACUAACUCCAUCGAGAGCCUCAGGCAAAGGACAGCAGGAGAUCAACAAAAGAAAGUGACAGUCAGAUAUAACCGGUGAUGAAGUACUAGAAAACUGUCUGAUCUCCAUUGCAAGUCAACAUGAAAGCCCUUUCUUUCUAUAGGUACCAUAAUGUGAUAAUGCUAUUAUAUUUCUCUGAACAAGUAGCAGAAGUUACACAAUGCAGAAGUACGGAUGCUUUAAUAAAGUGACCAAAAGAGGCUUAAGAUACUUUGACAAUUGAAGCCUCAGCGCAUACAAAGAAUGAACACUCAAUCAAACUAUUAAAGGAUCAGUCCGAUGUAAGUAGAGACAAUUGUUAGUUGCAGACUCUGACUCUCUGGCAAAUAUACCUCAAACAGAAGGGAAACACAAAAGUAGAUAAUUUGAUGUAUUGAUCUCAAACGGAUCACUAAAACAAAGAGCUAUCAUUUAGGAUUGAUCAACUUUUAACUUACUACAUCACACAUUAAUUUUCUUCACAAGCAUAUUGGUUUUCAUAUUUCACCAAUUAGGCAUUUAGAUAAAACUCUACAUGAAAUCCUUUUAAGGCAUCUCACCGGACCACUGCUACUUACAGAAACCAUUCAUCGCCUAGAAGAUCAAACUAAAAAUGGGUACAAUUUCAUAGUGACAGCCUUAAGUUCCAUCUUCAUUGUGAGAAAAUAUAAGAGAAAAAUAUUAUUGAAUUGUUGUAACUACAUUAUUACAUUGAGGCCCUAUUUAUAGACACUACAUUCCAAUCCUUUUCCUAAUAUGACACUACAUUAUAAUUCCUUUCCAAGUAGGAUUCUAUAUGCUAUUCCUAUUCCUACUCAUAUUCUAACACUCCCCCUCAAGCUGGUGCAUAGAAGACAUAUGUACCAAGCUUGUUAUGGAUGUAACUAAUACGAGGAUCGGUGAGGGACUUGGUGAAGACAUCUUCAAGAAAACUGAUAAGGAUUGCUUUGGACGUCUGGGAGACCUCAACUGAAACGGAAUAAACUGAAAAAGUGAUCCGAAAAGUAGUAAACAUCGCCGGAAAGUCAACGUGUUGCUGGAAAAUUGCCGGAAACUGGUAUAAAAUAUAAGGGUCAUCUCGAAAUCAAGAGAUGAGUAGAUCUUGAACAAGAUAGUCACCAAAGAACUUGCAUGGGUAGAGUUGGAAUGAAGGAACGACCCUACUGAAAAAGAGAAAUUAUAUGGGUAGGGUCGGAAUGAUAGCAUGACCCUACUGAAAAAGAGAAAUUAUAUGGGUAGGGUCGGAAUGAUAGCAUGACCCUACUGAAAAAGAGAAAUUAUAUGGGUAAGGUCGGAAUAAUGGCACGACCCCACAUAAAUUAGAUAUGCGGAGUCACCGGAAAGACAUACGGAACUACGUAAAUUAGAUCUGAGGAGUCACCAAAAAGAUACACGGUGCUAUGCAACUCAGAUGUGAGAAAGUAGUCCGGAAAGAUGCAUGGUGCUACGCACAUCAGAUAUGAGAAAAUAGUCACCGAAAAGAAGCACAGUGCUAAGAAAAAUAGAUAUGAAAACGUAGUCACCGAUGAAAGAUACACAGUGAGUCAGUGACCCAACUUUUAGUAACAUAAUCAUUGGCUAGACGGGCGGCAUAGAUGGAUUAUAACCGCCCGCCGACAACGGAAACUCUUUGAUUUUUACCAAGAUCGUGGAAGUUUUGAUAUCAUGUGAGAAAAUAUAAGAGAAAUAUUAUUGAAUUGUUGUAACUACAUUAUUACAUUGAGGCCCUAUUUAUAGACACUACAUUCCAAUCCUUUUCCUAAUAGGACACUACUUUACAAUCCCUUUCCAAGUAGGAUUCUAUAUGCUAUUUAUAGACACUACAUUCCAAUCCUUUUCCUAAUAGGACACUACAUUACAAUCCCUUUCCAAGUAGGAUUCUAUAUGUUAUUCCUAUUCCGACUCAUAGUCUAACAUUCAUAAAUAGCAUGUAGGAGUGUGACCUACCAGAUUAUGACAUUUACGGAAAUGGAUCAUAAAACAAACAAAAGAGAAAAAAGUGAACUAACUUAGCAGGUGUGAAGAAAUAAGUUUGAGAUAAAAUCAUAAGUUUAAAAAGGAUUUAAGUGCAUCCAUAAGCGCAACAUCUCCCAACGCUUGUGUAUUAAGAGCAAAUAUUGCCGUUUUCACUACUACAAUUCCAAUCUAUCAAAAACUAGCAAAUGGAAAACAUUCCACCAAUCUGAGAGUCUGGCAGCUCAUGUGGGCACGAGCAAACAAUCUUUGGAACAAGUUUUUCACCGUUUUACAUGUAUUCACAAGAGAACCUGCUGAUGUGUUCAAUGGACAGUUGAAUUUACGUUAGCACAUUUGUCAAGAUAACAAGAACAUACCAAGGUAGAAACGUUGUAGAAAUCUUAGUAAUAUUGGUUGUAAAAGGCUUUCUAAAUCACUGAGGGAGGCAAAUCCAUAUCCUGGCCAUCCAAUUCCAAAAAGAAACACAUUAUCUUUUGAUAGCUAUUUGGAUGCAAAAGCAGAGCCAGCGUGGCAAAAGAGGAUAUAUCAGAACUCCCAAAAAUCUAGCAGAAAAUAUCACAUACCUUUACAUUUUCUUACCUUCUGUUAGCAUUUCUCAUUCACUUUUCCCUUGCUUCUUGCUACUCGAGUGGGAGAGAAAAUAUAACUUUUUUUUAAACUGGUAACUUUGCACAUCUAUAUAUUUAAAAUCAGGUCAUUACCAGGUUGUGCACAACCAUAUUUACAAGAGUGCUACCAAUAUCUUUUUUUUUUAAAGAAUUAGUACUGUUGUAUUCUUCAGCAUUAGGAAUGCUGGCCACCAUCAAAAAAUUGUUACAAAGAAGUUAGAUUCUAGCUUUACAGAGGUCCUAGGAAAUCUACUAACUCCUCUACAUCCUCUAUACGGUUUUGUUUACACCAAAAGAAAAGUGUUACCAGACAGUCCUAUUUCACAUCAAGGACUGACCUGAUCCUAUGUUUCAAAACACCUUCCAUUUCUCUCCCUCCAGACUUAACACCAUAUGCAAGAGGGAAUUAUUCUCCACCACCUUUUCUUUUUUGUUUUUUUGGAUAACUAUGGUGUCCGUACAAGCCUUCGCGCACCUCGACUAAUUCCAUGGGAUACCUUCCACGUCCCACCAGCAACAGAUACCAGGUAACUCUGUUCUCAGGCAUUGUCCACUACCAAUAUCUAUGAUCUUAUGUGUAUAAUGAGUAUAAAACAUCAAGAAUACAAAUAGGAUCAUUUGACCGUAUCUGAUUACACCAAUAACACAGAAUCAAUAUACAAUUUAACUUGAUCUGCUGCACACUGUUUUCUACAUUUUCAAAACAUCUGGAAUCCCUUUCCUUCUAGAUUGACCACUAAAUGCAAGCUAGAACUAUCCUCCACCUACUUCUACUCUUUGCACACACUCCCACUUGCCCCGUCUUGAUAAGACCUCAGUAAUCUUCCUAGGCAUUCACCAUGAUGUGCCUCUGAGGUUCAGAAACAGCAUCUAUGGCUGUCUGGUGACCUUGCAAUGAAUGAAAAACUGGUUAACUGUCUCUACUUUCUCCCCACAUAGAAAACAUCUAAGGCAUAAGAUUAUUCCCCUUUGCAUAAGGUUCUCCUCCGUAAGCACGACCUCCUUUGCCAAGAGCAAUAUAAAACAUGCCACUUUGUAUGGUAUUUUGGUCUUCCAAAUAUUUUUCCAUGGCUUGCUGCUAAGCUGCAUGUUGGUACUGUUCAACCUUCUGAAGCUUUUGCUCACCUUGAACGAACCCGUUUUACUAUCUUGCUGGCAUAAUUCAUAUCUUCCCUCAAUCCACUGAACUGUUCAAUUUGAUUUAUGAACUCCACCAUUCUUUGCACUUCCCAAUAACUGAGUUUCCUUCUGAAGUUGAAACUCCACCCUUCUGGUGUCCGACGGCUCUGCUAUGGUACUAUGUUGGUGCUUCACUGAGUGUACCUCUGGAAACAACCUUUCUAGUUUACCUACUUCAUGCUAAUCAUAUUUCCAAAAUAGGUAUUAGCCCAUUGUUCGCUUUAAUCACGGAAAAACUUUUCAGCUCAUUCCAGAUGACUCUUAUGGACCUCCAUAGAUUGACUCCAUAUUGAAUAAUAACUUCUUUAGUCAUCCAUCAGUCUUCCUUUCAUACUUGGCUACAAUUACUUUCCCUUAAUCUGUUGAUGACCCUUGCUAGGAUAGGGAACAAUGACAUUAUAUAAGUAGGGCAAGGAAUCUAAGACUUAGUUGAUGAAAGCUAAUCUUCCACCAAGUGACAAGUACUACCUUUUCCACCUAGCCAAUUUCUUCACACUUCGCAACCACAUUGCUCCAUAUCUCCAUAGACUUUGACUUUGCUCCUAAAGUAUCUAGAUAAGUAGUUGGCAGACUGCCAAACUUACCACCCAAAAUUGCAUUCAGUAAAUCCAUAUUUGAAACCUCGAUGAUAGGAUACAAGAAACUCUUCCCCUAAUUAAUAUGUCGUCCAGACAUCCCCUCGAACAGGACCAGAAUCACCCUUAGUACUCUCAACUAUUCUUCAUUAGCAUUACAAGAAAUGAGUGUAAAAUUUGCAUACUACAGACGAGCCACUUCCAAGUUGUCUCUUCCAUCUCUAGCCACAUGAAAACAUCUUACCCACCUAUUAGUAAUAGCAGAUUUAACUAUACUAUUAAGGCCCUCCAUUGCUAGUAAAAACAGAAAUAAUGACAAAGGAUCACCUUGUCUGAGACCCUUAUGUGAUCAAAAGAACUUGUUGGAAUACCAUUGAUAAGGACUGAAAAACUCAUUGUUAAAAUGCAAUACCUUAUACAAUGAAUCCAUUUUUGCCCAAAUCCCACCCUUCUCAGAACUGCUAGCAGACCAGUUUUUCCAUCACCCAUUCAGCCUUUCAAUGAGAACUUUGGAGAAUAUUAUGUACAUGUCACCAAUCAAACUAACUGGUCUAACAUCCCUUAGCACUUCUCUUCUUUGGAAUCUAAGUUAUAAAAGUGGUAUUAUAGCUUCUAUCGAACAUUUCUUGCUCGUACAAGUUGUGGAAUGCAUUCAUGAUAUCUAAUCGUACCACUUCCCAGCAUUUUCUUAAAAAAUCCAUGGUGAAGCCAUCAAGCCUUGGAGCCUUAUUUGUUGCACACAACUUUAUAUUUCUCAACACUUUCUCCUCCACAAAUCUUGCUUGAAGACUCUCAUUUUCUUCCACGGUUAAAACUGGGUAAUUGUGGAAGUGAUUGAUUGGUUUCCGUUGCGUUGUUUCAGUGUAUAGAUUUUGGUAAAGAUCUACUAUCUCCUCUUCAAUUCUAGCCAAUUCUAGUAGAAUCCCAAGUUCUGCUUGCACUAACAACUUGUCUACGCUAUUAUACCUCAUGUGGCAUUGACAAUUUUAUGGAAGAACUUUGUGUUUCUGUCUCCCUCCUCUAACCAUAAGUCUCUGGACCUUUGUCUCCAUGCAAUCGCCUCCUUUCAUAAGUCCUGCUCUUCUCUCCAUCUCGGCUUCAGUGAGAAUUUUGUCUCUCAAUAUUGUUUCAAUGUUUGUCAGCUUGCUUAACGGGCCUUUCUUUGUACACUUGAAUUCCCCUGCUCAAUUUGCUCCAAUCAUUGAGUUCUCUUCAGAGCUUUCACCUUGCAAGCUAAAUAUAGUCAGGUCUACCAGCAAAGCUGAAAUCGUUCCACCACCCCCUAACUCCAUUUGUAUAGCCAUCAAUGUUCAAGCACCAAUUUUUGAACUUAAAAUAGCUUUUGUUUUAUCCUAGGAUCCACCUUGAAUGGCAAUGGGGGAGAGAUAAUAUGACUGAGUGGUACGAAAAAAGUCCUUAUCAUAAAUAAGAGUGGAGCGUGAUGUCUUUAUUUAUAGUUGUUGUAUCUGGGUAUUUACAUUAACCCAAUAAAUACUAAUACAUUUUUCUCAGUGGGAAAUAUGUAUACAAUUAUGCAGUUUGAGUAUAUGUUAGGUGUUCAUCAAAUAGUCAUCGACUUAGUUUAGCUGAUUUGAUAAAAUAUUCAAACAAGCUUUACGGGGCUCCACGGGUCUGUACACGGGUUCGAUCCCCAGCGGCUACAACCAUUUUCCCCAGACACUGCACAUAGCAGUAGCUUUAGUGCACCGGGCUGCCCUUGUUAUAAGCUUUAUGGGGCUAUCAAAGUAUUUUGUCUAUUAAUGGACUCCAACUUCAUAUAGUCAAAUUAUCACUCAACUGUAGAAAUGAGCCUGCUUAUCGGCUUACACUUGCUUGAACAUUAACUUCAUUUGAAGCUCAAAGAUAAUUAACAAUCUUCAAGAUUUGGAAUAAACACAAGACCAAUAACACAAUAAAAUGUAUGCUUAUAAAAAAAGAACGCAAAAGUGAAUCGCCCCUAUCGCUUGAUGGCUAGAAACAAAAUACAAGUUGUUAUUUACAAAUUAUCCCUCUUUGUUAUAAAAGAUGUCUCUACUCCUUAAAAAAGAGAUACUUCAUAUAUCUUGAAAAAGCACUAGUACGAAUAAUAAACUUCAAAUUGAGUAAAUAAGACAAGGUAACAAAAUUUCCAAAUUCGAAAAAAAGUUCAAAUCCUGAAUUUGCUUGUAACACUAGUAUUAAAAAAAAUGGAACAAGACACAAAAGUCAAAGUAAAUGUUGCGAGAAUAAAACGAGAAGGCUAAAAAUACAUUGGAUUAAAACAUGAUCUCGAAUUCUUCGAAGAAGAUGAAGCUAUCUAAUUUGUCUGAUUUUGCUGUGAUUCGCCCCUAUCGCUUGGUGGCUAGAAACAAAAUACAAGAAGUUAUUUACAAAUUAUCCCUCUUUGUUAUAAAAGAGUCUCUACUCCUUAAAAAAGAGAUACUUCAUAUAUCUUGAAAAAGCACUAGUACGAAUAAUAGAUUUCAAAUUGAGUAAAUAAGACAAGGUAACAAAAUUUCCAAUUCGAAAAAAAUUUCAAAUCCUGAAUUUGCUUGUAACACUAGUAUUAAAAAAAAGGAACAAGACACAAAAGUCAAAGUAAAUGUUGCAAGAAUAAAACGAGAAGGCUAAAAACACAUUGGAUUAAAACAUGAUCUCGAAUUCUUCGAAGAAGAUGAAGCUAUCGAAUCUGUCUGAUUUUGUUUUGCCUUUGUAGUUUCUUCUUCAUCCUUAAAAAUCAUCUGCUUGCUCCUGUAUUCCACGCUACACGCUACAGAAUGGAUUAUUACCCCUAUCCAUUUAAGAUUAUAUCAUUAGAAAAAAGAAAGAUCAAUUCAUGUAAACCAUUAUAAACUUUAAUUUAAUUUGUCGGAUUACAAAACUUUUGGUCCCUUAGCUAGAAAUAAAUUUUGAUCCAAUACAUUUAACCUUUAAUUUAAUUUAUAACAAAAACUACACUACGAAUUGUGUAAGUCAAAGUGAUGAUAAAGGAAAAGAGUACAGAAAAUAAUUAUAGAAGAACUCUCACAUGUACAUGUAGAUAUCUUGCACGGGUAGCAACUUCUUGCAAAAUAAGCAAUAUUCAAGAAAUCCACAUCCACAGAUAGUUUUCACUUCGGAAAAGGGUUUGAUUGGGUUACUAGUUUUGUUACCAACCUGUGACAUGUUUCUUUUGGUACAACCGCCGCCUUCUUCAAGUACUACACUUUGUCCUGCGCUGCUCAGACCUCUUAUUUUUUUCUGAAUACCCUCUAUGCCUAAAGGAGUGGUAUUUAUAUACGUACAUUCGGUGUAGUUUAAUUUGUAGGAAAGAGAUAGAGUUAUAAGUAUGAUCUUAUCCGAAUUCAAUAGUUUUUGACUCAGAUUCUUUUAAAAACAAAAUAAUUAAAUUUGAAGAAAGUAAAAAUUAAAAGGCGGUCCUAGUCAAACUCAUAAAAUCUAAUCUCACUUGUAGCUAAAUUUAUCAUUGUUUUUAUCUUUUGACUUCUGCUUUAUUGCCUUGUUUUUCGGAAAAUAAAAUUUCCCUUGUAGUCAGAUUUUUCCUUGUUCUUAUCUUUUCACCUUGUUUUGUCGUCUUCUUUCCUAAUUACACUACUUUGUGAGUAGGGAAAACUUAGGUGAUAAAAAACUUAGGCAUAAUGCAUAAACAUGUCCUUGAACUCGGCCUUCAAUUGGCAUCUAUGAACUCCAACUUUGGAUGUGUACAAGUCCUUUGUGGCAUAAUACACGUAAAACGCCAUGUAGGAGACAAAUGUGUCUAUUUGUUCAACUUUAUACAAGAUUAAGUGUCUACUUGUGUUCACCCAAUGUUGGAAAGCGCAGAUGCAAGUUUAAGCCAAGUUAAAGGACACGUUUAUCAAUUUUACCAAAAGCUUAUGAAGUUAGUUCGGCCAUAAAUACAGAUGAUUUAAUAGGAACAUUAAUAGAAAUUAAAUGAAUGAUUUAGUCACAAUUUUAGUUCAGCAAUAAAAGUUGUAGUAGCAAACAAAAGCAUGAUAUUUAAGCAGAAAAGAUAAAGACACUAUUUUUCAAAUAUGCUUUCGUUGAUUAUUAAAAGUUACCCGAUUAUAAAAAAAAACAGUGUCACAGUAAUUAUUAUCACCUAACUUUCCCCUAACUACAAUGCAAAGAAAUGAGGAAAAGAAGAUGGCAAAGCAAGAGUAAAAAAAUAAGAACAAGAAAAAAUCUAACUACUAUGACAAGUGAGAUAAAUUCGCAUUUCAAAUUUUAUGAGUUUGACUAGGACCGCUGCAAUUCAUUUAAUUAUACUCUAUUCAAAAUUAAUUAUUUUCGUUUUUAAUAGAAUCUAAGCCAAAACUAUUGAAUUCGGAUAAGAUCAUACUUAUAACACUAUCUCUUCCUGCAAAUUAACUACAUCAAAAUAUUUGUAUACAAAUACCACUCCUUCAGACAUAGAAGGUAUUCAAAAAAAAAACAUAAAAGGCCAAGGGCAACGCAUGACUAAGUGUAGUACUUGAAGACAAAAAAAGUGUUAGGUGGUUAAAAAUUGUUAACAAAGUUAAUGGUCGAAUCAAAUCCUGUUUCGUAAAGAAAACUACUAGUGGUUUUCUUGAAUUUUGUUCAUUGUGCAAGAAGCAACUGUUACCCAAGCAAAAAUAUCACAUGUACAUCUGAGCCUAUAAUUAAUUUCUUCACUCUUUUCCUUCAUAAUCACUUUAACUUACACAAUCGAUAAUGUAUCUUUAGUUAUGAUAAAUUUAAGUUGAAAGUUAAAUAUGUUGUAUACAUAUUUAUUCAUAACUGAGAGACCAAAGUGUUAUAAGCCUAAAAAUUAAGUUAAAAAUUUACAAUCAUUGUUAACAUGAAUUGGUUUUUUUGUCUGAUGAUAUAUGCUUAAAUGGACAGAGGUGAUAGCUAUUUUGUAGCAUGAAGUGUAGGAGUAAGCAAAUUUUUAAGGAUGAACAAGAAACAACAAAGACAAAGCAGAAACAGGCAAAUUUGAUACCUUUAUCUCCUUUGAAGAAUUCGAGAUCAUGCUUUAAUAUGAUGUUCUUUUCCGUCUUCUAGUUUUAUCCUCACAACAUUUUAUUCGACUUUUGUGUCCAGUUCCUUUUUUUUAUACUAGUGUAAUAAGCGGAUUCAAGAUUUGAACUUUUUGAGUUCAAAUUUAGAAAUUAUAUUACCUCGUGUCUAAUUUACUUAGAUUGAAGUCUAUUAUUCGUACUUAUUUAAUGUGUUCUAAAGAAAUAUAAAUUAUAUCUUCUUCAAGGAGUAGAGGCAUAUUUUAAAUAUUUUAUUACAAAGAGGGACAAUCUGAUAAUAACUUAUAUCUUUUUCUACCCUCCAAGUGUUGGAGGCGAGUCAUUGUUGCGGUUUGUUUUGAUAAGCACACAUUUUGUUGUGCCAUUGGUCUUGUAUUUACUCGAUGGUUCAUAGAUCAGUAUUAGUCUCUGAGAGUCAAAUGAAGUAACAUUCAAACACGCUUGAGCCGAUAAGUGAGCUAAUUUCAACAGUUGAAGUGAUAGUUUGACUAUAUAAAGUUGGAGUCAUUAAUAGGCCAAAUAAAUAGAUAGACCAAAACACUUGUCUUGAAUAUUUUAUCGAACCACCUAAACUAAGUCAAUGACCAUUUGAACACCUAACCUAUUCUCAAACUGUGUCAAUUGAACACAUAUUUCAGAAUGCGGCUGGGUAAACUACAUUCAAACUGGAUCUGUAUUUAUUGGUUUAACGUAAACACCAAAGAUAUAAGAAUUCUACAAACAAAGACAUCCCACUCCAUUCUUUUUUUUUAAGAUAAGGACGUCUUUCAUACUACUCAUUAAAGUCAUAUCUCCUCACCCACUCAAGUUAGCAAGAGGCAAGGAAAGAAUGAAUCAGAAAUGCUUACAGAAGGUAAGAGAAAAUGUGCAGGUCCGUGAAUUUUCGAGUAGAUCUUUGUAGCUGGGAAUUUUCAAAUAUUAUAACAUCAUCUUCAUCCACAUCCCUAUCAAUGUCACCAACAAGCUCAAUCAAAUUUCAAUAGAAAUACAACUUUGAAUCCAUAUAGAAGUACAAAGUGGUUUGGUUGAUGCAUCAUAAAUCUAUAGAUCAUAUCAUCAGACUAGUCAUACUUUCAUUUUCAAAGAAAGCAAAUAUUUUCGAAAAGUAUAAUGAAGAACAAGAUUUUCCGUCCUAGCCAAACUUUAAAAUCUAUAAGUAUUACACAGGAAGAGAAAACGAAAUAAUGCAAUUGAUGACACAACAAUAAUUGGUUAAAUUGAUUGGCCACUUUCUUCAUUAUAUAGCUGUAAUACAAGUACCAACAAACUGAAAUUGAUGAUGGACCAAACAAAAUUUGGCUAUGAAUAUUUUUCGAGCAGAGCACAACUUGAGAUGAGUAACAAAGAUAUUUUAGAGAACUAACUCCAUCAACAUCCUCAGGCACAGGACAGCAGGAGAUCAACAAAAGAAAGUGACAGUAAGAUAUAACCAGUGAAGUUGUAAUAGAAAACUGUCUGAUGUCCAUUGCAAGCCAACACGAAAGACCUUUCUUUCUACAGGGGUACCAAAAUGUGAUAAUUCUAUUAUAUUAGCAAGUAGCACAGGCUACACAAUGCAUAAGUACAGAUGCUUUAAUAAAGUGACCAAAAUAGGCUUAAAUAUACUUUGACAAUUGAAACCUCGGCACUUAGAAAGAAUGAAAACUCAAUCAAACUAUUAAAGGAUCAGUCCCAUGUAAACAGAGACUAUUGUUAGUUGCAGACUCUAAUUCUCUAGCAAAUAUACCUCAAGUAGAAGGGAAACACAAAAGUAGAUAAUUUGAUGUAUUAAUCUCACAGAUCACUAAAACAAAGAUCUCUCAUUUAAAAAUGAUCAACUUCUAACUCACUUCAUCACACAUUUAUAUUCUUCACAAGCACAUUGAUUUUAUAUUCACCAAUUAGGCAUUUAGAUAAAACUCUACGUGAAAUUCUUUGAAUGCAUCUCACAGGACCUCUGCUGCUACUGACAGAUACCAUUCAUUGCCUAGAAGAUUAGACUAACAAGGGCUACAAGUUCAUAGCGACAAACUUAAGUUCUAUCUUCAUAAAUAGCAUAUAGGAGUUUGACCUACCAGAUUAUGACAUUUCUGGAAAUGGAUCAUAAAACAAACAAAAGAGAAAUAAGAGAAUUAACUUGCGAGAUUUGAAGAAAUAAGUUUGAGAUAAAAUCAGAAGUUGAAAAAGGCUUUAAGUGCAUGCAUAAGCACAACAUCAUCUCCCAACGCUUGUGUAUCAAAAGCAAAUAUAGCCUUUUUCGCUAAUACAAUUCCAAUCUAUCAGAAACUGGCAAAUGGUAAAUAUUGAGUCUGCAGCUCAUCUGAGGACGUGGUUUGGAACAAGAUCUUCACCAUUGUACAUAUAUCCACAAGAGCUAUUGCUGAUGUGUUCAAUUGACAGUUGAAUUUACAUUAGCACGUUUGUUAAGAUAACAAGAACAUACCAAGGUAGAAACAUCGUAGAAAUCCUAGUAAUAUUGGUUGUAAAAGGCUUUUACAUCAGUUUUUUUCUUUUUUGUGUGUGUGGGGGUGGGGGGUGGCAAGGGGGGGAGGGGGCAUAUCCUGUCCAUUUAAUUCCAAAAAGAAACACAUUAUCUUUUGAGUUAGCAUUUCUGACUCACUUUUCCAUUGCUUCUUGCUAAAUCGAGUGGGAGAGAAAAUAUGACUGUUAAAACUGGUAACUUUGUAAAUACAUAUUUAAAAUCAGGUCAUUACCAGGUUGUGCACAACAUAUUUUCAAGAGUACUUCCCAUAUCUUUUUCUUUUAAGAAUUAGUACUGUUGUAUUUUCAGCAUUGGAAUGCUGGCCACCACAAAAAAUGGUUACAAAGAAGUUAGAUUCUAGCUUUACAGAGGUCCUACGAAAUCUACUAACUCCUCUACAUACUCAACAUAGUUUUGUUUACACCAAAAGAAAAGUGUUACCAAACAGUCCCGUUUCACAUUAUGGACUGACCUGAUCCUAUCUUUCAAAUGCCUUCCAUUUCUCUCCCUCCAAACUUACAACCAUAUGCAAGAGGGUAUAAUUCUCCACCACCUUUUCUUUUUUUCUUUUUUGAUAACUGUGGUGUCCAUGCCAACAUGUGCACACCUAGGCUAAUUCCACGGGAUACUUGCCACCUCCCACCAACAACAUAUACCCGGUAACUCUGUCCACCAGGGCUAGAACAACUGGAAAGAAAUCACCUACUGUUUGUCUCCGUCUCUGCUGAGACUUCAUGGAGCUCAACCCACUGCAUUGAACCACUAGGCAUACCCUUGGGUGCUAUUCUCCACCGCUUUCACUAGGCACACCCUUGGGUGCUAUUCUCCAUCACUUUUUAUGAGUUUUACUUCCACCUCUUUUCAUCCAACAACUCAUCAAAUCUACCGUGUGCUCACGCAUUGUCCACUGCCAAUAUCUAUUAUCUUAUGUCUAUAAUGAGUCUAAAACAUCAAGAUUACAGACAGGAUCAUUUGACCAUAUCUGAUUACACCAAAAACACAGAAUCCAGAUGCAAUUUAACUUAAUCUGUUGCACUGUUUCCUACAUUCUGGAAACAUUUGCAAUCCUUUUCCUUCAAGAUUAACAACCAAAUGCAAGUUGGAACUAUCCUCCACCUACUUCUACUCUUGGCAUGCACUCCUACAGUCCCACUUGCUCCCAUCUUGAUGAGACCCCUGUAAUCUUCCUAGGCAUACACCAUGAUGUGCCUCUGAGGCUCAAAAAUAGCAUCUAUAGGAAUCCAGUGACCUUGCAAUGAAUGAACACAUGGUUAACUGUCUCUGCUUUCUCCCCACAUUGGAAACAUCGAAGGCACAAGAUUAUUCCUCUUUGCAUAAGGUUCUCCUACGAAAGGACUGCCUCCUUUGCCAAGAGCCAUAAAAAAACAUGUCACUUUGUAGGGUAUUUUGGUCUUCCAAAUAAUCUUCCAUGGCCAGAUGCUUAGCUGCAGGUUGGUAUUGUUCAACCUUUUGAAACUUUUGCUCACCUUGAAAGAACCUUUUUUACAGCCUUGCCACCAUAAUUCAACACUUCACUUGAUCCACUGAACUGUUCAAUUUGAUUUAUGAAUUCUACCAUUCUUUACACUUCCCAAUCAUUGAGUUGGCUUCUGAAGUUGAAACUCCACCCUUCUGGUGUCCAAAGCUCUGCUAUGGUCCCUAUGUUGGUGAUUCACUAAGGAGUGUAUCUCUGGAAACAACCUUUCCAGUUUACCUACCUCAUGCCAAUCAUCUUUCCAAAGUAGGUAUUAAUCCCAUCCUUCACUUUGAUCGGAAAAUCUUUUCAGCUCAUUCCACAAGACUCGUACAGACCACCUUUCAUACUUGGUUGCAAUUACUUUCCCUUAAUCUGUGAUGACCCUUGCUAGGAUAGGGAACAAGGACAUCAUAUAAGUAGGGUAAGGAAUCUAAGACUACAACAACAACAACAACAACCACAACAAACCCAGUGUAUUCCCACAAAGUAGGGUCUGGGGAGGGUAAGAUGUACACAGCCCAUACUGCUACCUCCUCCGAAGUAAAGAAGCUAUUUCCGAUAGACUGAGUUGAUGAAAGUAAAUGUUCCACCAAGUGAUAAGUACUACCUUUUCCACCUAGCCAAUUUCUUUUUACACUUCUCAACCACAUUUCUCCAUAUCUCCUUGGACUUUGACUUUGCUCCUAAAGGCAUACCUAGGUAAGUACUUGGCAAACUACCAAACUUACCACCCAAAAUUGCAUUCAGAAAAUCCAUAUCUGAAACCUUGCUGAUAGGAUACAAGAAACUUUACCUAGGGCUGUGCAAAAACCGAACCGACCGACAAACCGAACCGAUAAAAAUGUUAUUGGGUUAUUGGUAUUGGGUUAUCGGAUUAACAGUUUUCUAUUGGUUUUAUAAAAAAAUUUAUUGGGUAAACGGUUCGGUAUCGGUUUUAGCUUAUUGGGUUAUCGGUUAAACUGAUAAUCCAAUAAGGAUACACUAAGUUAUUGUUUUAUCACUAUUUAUGUUAGAGUAUAUAUUUAAAUAUCUCUCUCUCUAUAUAUAUAUAUAUAUAUAGAUAGAUAUAGAUAUAGAAAUAGAUAUAGCUAUGUGUAUGUAAAUAGAUUAUAUGCACCUACUAAUUCAUAAUUCGUAUUAACCUAUUCAAGGCAACAAAGGUACAAUAUAAUGUUCGGCUAUUAUCGUAAUAAAAAUUUUGAAGCAUUUAUAGCUUCCAACAAUUAGGAUUCAAUUUUUUUCCUAACUAACAUUCAGUUCAAGUUUGAAAAUUCUUGUAAACUAAAAUGCAUUGCGUAGGUUUUGGUGGUAAUUAAGAUUUCAUUUUUUUAUAUUAGUUGUUACUAUUUCUAUUUUACAAGUAUUUUCUUAUUGGUUAAACCAAAAACCGAACCGUUAAGGACCAAACCCCUCUAAAACGAAAUCGAUAAGAAAAUAUCUUAUUGGUUGGUUAUUGGUUUUACAUAUUUAAAAACCAAAAACCGAUAAACCGAACCAACAACACGUAAAACCAAACCGACCGAUGCACACCCCUAACUUUACCUCUAAUUAAUAUGGUCCAGACAACUCCUUGAAUAGGACCAGAAUCACCCUUAGUACUCUCAGCUAUUCUUCAUCAGCAUCACAAGAAAAGAGUGUAGCAUCUGCAUGCUACAGACGAGCAACUUCCAAGUUGUCUCUUCCAUCUCUAGCCACAUGAAAACAUCUUACCUACCCAUUAGUAUUAGCAGAUUUAACCAUACUACUAAGGCCCUCCAUUGCUAGUAAAAACAUAAAUAAUGACAAAGGAUUACUUUGUCUGAGACCCUUAUGUGAACUAAACCUGUUGGGGGUACCAUUGAUAAGGACUGAAAAACUCAUUGUUAAAAUACAAUGCCUUAACCAAUGAGUCCAUUUUUGUCCAAAACCCACCCUUCUAAGAACUGAUAGCCAAGCAGUUUUUUGGAGAAUAUUUUGUAUAUGUCACCAAUCAAACUAAUUGGUCUACAAUCCCUUAGCUGUUUAGCACUUUUCUUAUUUGGAAUGAGAGCUAUAAAAGUGGAAUUAUAGCUCUUAUCGAACAUUUAUUGCUCAUAGAUGUUGUGGAAUGCAUUCACGAUAUCUGAUUAUACCACUUCCCAGCAUUUUCUUAAAAAACUCAUGGUGAAACCAUCAGGCCCUAGAGCCUUAUCUAUUGCACACAACUUUAUACUUUUGAAUGCUUCCUGUCCUCAAAUAUUGUUUGAAGACUCUCCUGUUCUUCCAAUGUUAAAACUGCGCAAUUGUGGAAGUGAUUGGUUGGCCUCCAUUGUGAAGUGUCAGUGUAUAGAUUUUGGCAAAAGUCUACUAUCUCCUCUCCAAUUCUAAUAGAAUCUUGAGUUCUCCUUGUACUAACAAGCUCAAAGAUAAUUAACAAUCUUCGAGAUUUAGAAUAAAUACAAAACCAAUUACAUAACAAAAUGUGUGCUUAUCAAAAAAGAACGCAAAAGAGACUCGCUCUUAUCACUUGGAAGCUAGAAAAAAAUGUAAGUUGCUAUUACCAAAUUAUUCCUCUUUGUUAUGAGCAAAAACAACAUACCUAGUAUGUUCCCAUAAAGUGGGGUCUGGGGAGGGUAAGCGUACGCAGUCCAUACCACUAGCUCAAAGGUGAGAUAAAGCCUUUUUGUUAUAAAAUAUUUAAAAUCAAUCUACUCCUUGAAAAAGAGAUACUUUAUAUAUCUUUAAAAUGCAAUAAAUAAUUACGAAUAACAGACUUCAAACUAAGUAAAUUAGAUGAAAGGUAAUAGAGUUUCUAAAUUCAAACUCAAAAAGUUCAAAUCUUGAAUCCGCUUGUAAUACUAGAAUUAAAAAAGGAAGACAUAAAAAUCAAAAUAAAAUAUUGCGAGAAUAAAACUAGAAGGCUAAAAAGACAUCGGAUUAAAAGAUGAUCUCGAAUUCUUCGAAGAAGAUGAAGCUAUUGAAUCUGUCUGAUUUUGCUUUGCCUUUGUAGUUUCUUCUUCAUCCUUAAAAUUUGUUUGCUCCUACACUCCACGCUACAGAAUGGCCUAUCUCUGUCCAUUUAAGUAUGUAUCAUUGGAAAAAAAGAUCAAUUCAUGAUAACAACCAUUAUAAACUUUAAUAUAAUUUGUAGGGUUACAAAACUUUUGGUCCCUUAGCUAUGAAUAAAUUUUGAUUCGACAUAUUUAGCCUUCAAUUUAUAUCAUAACAAAAAUUACACUACGAAUUGUGCAAGUCGAAGUGAUAAUGAAGAAAAAGAGUGAAAAAAAGAAUUAUAGAAGAACUCUUACAUAUACAUGUAGAUAUCUUGCACGGGUAGCAACUUCUUCUUGCAAAAAAAACAAUAUUCAAGAAAUCCACAGGUAUUUUUCAUUUCAGAACAGGGGAUGACUGGACCACUAGUUUUGUUAACAACUUGUGACAUGUUUCUUUUGGUACCACCAACACCUUCUUCAAGUACUACACUUAGCCCUGUCUUACUCAGACCUCUUAUGUGUUUUUUUCAGAAUACCCUCUAUGCCUGAAGGAGUGAAAUUUAUAUAUGCACAUUUCAAUGUAAUUUAAUUUACAGGAAAGGAUAGAGUUAAAAGUAUGAUCUUAUCCGAAUUCAAUAGUAUUGAAUUAGAUUCUAUAAAAGGAUGGAGUUAUAAGUAUGAUCUUAUCCGAAUUCAAUAGUUUUGAAUUAGAUUUUAUUAAAAGAAAAAAUAAUUAAUUUUGAAUAGAGUAAAAUUAUAUGAAUUGCAGCAGUCCUAGUCAAACCAAUAAAAUUUAAAUCUCGAAUCUGAUCUCACUUGUAGUUAAAUUCAUCCUAGUUCUUAUCUUUUAAAUUUUGCUUUGUCGGCCUCGUUCCAAAUCUAAUCUCACUAGUAGUUAGAUUUUUCCUUGUUUUGUUACUCUUGCUUUGUCGUCUUUUUUUUCCUCAUUUUAUUGCUUUGUAAGUAGGGGAAAGUUAAGUGAUAAUAAUUACUGCAACAUUGUAUUUUUUUUCAAUAACCGAGAUAUUUUAAAAAUCAGCGAAAGCAUGUUUGAAAAAUAGUGUAUGUCUUUAUCUUUUUCUACUUAAAUAUCAUGCUUAUGUUUGCUGCUACAGCUUUUAUCGCUGAACUAAAAUUUUAUAUUUUUUGAUAACCGUGGUGUCCGGGCCAUCUUGUGCGCGCCUUGACUAAUUCUAUGAGAUACCUGCCACCUCUUACCAGCAACAGGUAUCAGGUAACUCUAUCAAGGCUAAAACAAAUGAAAAAAAAUCACCCAAUGUUUUUUUCUAUUGAGAAUUGAACCUAAGACCUCAUGGUGCUUAAUCCAACUUCAUUGAACCACCAGGCCACACUCUUGGGUGCCGCUAAACUAAAAUAGUGAGUAAAUCAUCCAUUUAAUUUUUAUUAAUGUUCCUAUUAAAUCACCUGCCUUUAAGGCCUAACAAACUACAUACGCUUGUGGAAAAAUAGAUAAAUGUGCCCUUUAACAUAGCUUCAACUUGCAUUUGUAUCCUCCAACUUUGGGUGUACACAAGUAGGCACUUAAACUGUAUAAAAUUGAACAAGUAGACAGCACCGUAUGUGGCGUCCUAUCUGGCCAAUUUUCCUCUUACAUGGUGUCCUACAUGUACUAUGCCACAUAGGAUGUGUGCGGCUACUUGUUCAACUUUAUACAAGUUAAAGUGUCUAUUUGUACUCACCUAAAGUUGGAGUGCGUAGAUGUCAGCCGAGGUUAAGUUAAAGGGCAUGUUUAUGCAUUAUACCUAAGUUUUUUAUAUACACUAGUAUACUAAUAAAUCUACAAAUAGGAACAAAAUAUACAAGUACGAACUAUGUAAUUUCCAAGUUUACUAUUGUUAUAAAAUUGAAAUUUGAAUCUUCUUAAAAUAAUAAGUUCAAAAAUACUCCUUUCGUUCCCUAUUUUUUUUUAUAACCGCGGUGUCCGAGCCAGCUUGCGCGCAACUAGUCUAAAUCCAUGGGAUACCUACCACCUUCCUUCCACCAGCAACAGGUAUCGGGUAACUCUAUCCACCAAGGCUAGAAUAGAUGGGAAUAAAACACCUAGUGUUUAUCUCUGCUAGGAAUUGAACCUGAGACCUCAGGGUGCUCAUCCCAACUUCCGUGAACCACUAGGCCACACCUUUGGAUGCACUUGUUCACUAUUCAAAAUACAGAUUUUCACUCUUAUACUUGUCACUUUUAAUAUAUCAAGAACAGAAAAUUAGUUUUUUUUCAUGUUCUAGCCUUAGCAUUAAUUACUUAUUUUCCAAAUCAUUUUUCAAGACCUACUAUCGAAUAUAAAUUAAUAUGAGUAUUAUGGUAAAAUACUCAUAUAAAUCAAUAUUUCUUAAUGGACGUGCAAAGUCCAAAGUGGACAAGUAAAAGUGAACGAAAGGAGUAACACUAAUGAAUUAUUAUAUUCAAAAGAUGAUAUAAAGUGGAUGUUACUCCAAUAGAUCCGCGAGUUCCUACUUGUAGAGUGAUUAGUAUACCAGUGUCUCUAUAGAAAACUUAUGACAUCGGUUAGGCUUUAAAUGUAGGUGAUUUAGUAGGAACAAACAUAGAAAUUAAAUGGAUGAUUUACUCACAAUUUUAUUCCAUCGAUAAAAGCAUAUCACCAAAGAAAACAUGAUUUAUUUAAGUAGACAAAAAAUAAAGACAUAUACUACUUUUCAAACAUGCUCUCUUUGAUUCUUAAAAAUUUCUCAAUUAAUUAAAAAAAUUAAAAGAAAAUACAUUGUCACAAUAAUUAUUAAUCACCUAACUUUCCCCUACUUAUAAAGUAGUGUAAUUAGGAAAAAAGACGAGAAAGCAAAGAUAACAAGAUAAGAACAAGGAAAAACCUAACUACAUGUGAAAUUAGAUUCGUGAAAAGAGGACGCCAAAGCAAAAGUCAAAAGAUAAGAACAAAUAUAAAUCUAACUAUAAGUGAUCGGAUUAGGGAAAUAAAUUUUAUGAGUUUAACUUUAGGAUUGCCUCAAUUUUAAUUUACUUUAUUCAAAAUUAAUUAUUUUUGCUUUUAAUAGAAUCUGAUUCAAAACUAUUGAAUUUGGAUAAAAUCAUACUUAUAACUCUAUGUCCUUCCCUGCAUAGUAAACUGCAAUGAUAUGUGCGUGUGUAUAUUCCAUUCCUAGAGGGUUCAAAAAGAAACAUAAAAGACUAUGAGCAAGUAAGGACUAAGUGUAGUACUUGAAGGCGACGAAGGUGUUGGUGGUACCAAAAGAAACAUGUCACAAAUUGUUAGUAAAACUAGUGGCCCAAUCAAAUCCUAUUCCGAAAAGAAAAUUACCUAUGAAUUUCUAGAACUUUGUUGAUUUUGUAAGAAAAAGUUGUUAUCCGAGCAAGAUAUCUACAUGUACAUGUGAGAGUUCUCCUAUAAUUAGUUAGUUUACCAUUUUCCGUCAUCAUCACUUUAAUUUGCAUCAUCGAUAAUGUAAUUUUGUUAUGAUAAAAUUUAAGUAGAAGGUUAGAUAUGUUGUAUCAAAAUUAUAUUCAUAACUAAGGGACCAAAAGUUUAAUAAACCUACAAAUUAAGUUAAAAGUUUAUAAUCAUUGUUAUCAUGAAUUGAUUCUGUGUUCUAAUGAUACAUACCUGAAAGGACAAGGGUGAUAUAGACCAUUUUGUAGCAUAGAGUGCAGGAGCAAGUAGAUUUAUAAGGAUAAAUAAGAAACUACAAAGACAAAGCAAAAACAGACAAAUUCGAUGGUUCACCUUCUUUAAAGAAUUUGACAUCAUGCUUUAGUCUGAGGUUCUUUUUAGCCUUCUAGUUUUAUCCUCGCAACAUUUUAUUUCGACAAUUUUGUCUUGUUCCUUUAUUUAUACUAGUGUCAUAAGCGGAUUUAAGAUUUGAACUUUAUGAAUUCGAAUUUAGAAAUUCUAUCACCUCCCGUAUAAUUUACUCAAUUUAAAGUCUAUUAUUCGUACUCAUUUAGUGCGUUUUAAGGAUAUAUAAGUUAUCUCUUUUUCAAGGAGAAGAGGCAUAUUUUAAAUAUUUUAUCACAAAGAGGGACAAUUGGAUAAUAACAACUUAUAUUUUUUUUCUAGCCUCGAAGUGAUAGGGGCGAGUCGUUGUUGCGAUCUGUUUUGAUAAGCACACAUUUUGCUGCGUCAUUUGAUCUUGUAUUUAUUCUACAGGUCAAAGAUCAUUAUUAAUCUUUGAGCUUUAAAUUAAGUAAAGCAUGAGCCGAUAAACAAGCUCAUUUCAAUAGUUCAAGUGAUAGUUUGCCUAUUUAAAGUUAAGAGUCAAUUAAUAGGCCAAAUACAUAAAUAGCCCCAAAAAACUUGUCUGAGUAUUUUAUCGAACCAACUAAAUCGAUGACCAUUUGAACACCUAACCUAUUCUCAAACUCUGUCAAUUGCACACAUUUUUCAAAAUGCAGUUGGGUAAACUAUAUUCAAACUGUAUUAGUAUUUAUUGGGGUAACGUAAACGUUAAAGAUAUAGCAAUUCUAUAGACAAAGACAUCCCACUCCACUUUUUUUUUAAACUAAGGACGUCUUUCAUACCACUCAUUAAAGUCAUUUGUCCUCACCUAAUCGAGUUAGCAAGAAGCAAGGAAAGAAUGAACAAGAAAUGCUUACAGAAGGUACGAGAAAAUGUACAUGUACGCGAAAUUUCCACUAGAUCUUUGAAGCUGGGAAUUUCAAAUAUUGUAACGUGAUCGUCAUCCGCAACCCUAUCAAUGUACUGAGCUCAAUCAGAUUUGAAUAGGAGUACAACUUCUAAAUCCCGAUAGUAGACAAAGUGGUUCGUCUCAUGAGUCACACAAGAACCUACAUGGGAAAAGGUAAAACACGAAAAUAUCAUGAUCAGUUGAUGCAUCAUGAAUUAUAGACCUCAAACUGGUCAAUCUUUCAUUUUCAAAGCAAACAAGUAUUCGAAAAGCAUAAUGAAGAACAAAAUUUUCCGUCCUCGCCAAACUCUAUAAUCAGUCAGCACUACCUACACAGUAAGAGAAGAAAAUAAGCAAUUGACGACAGAGCAGCAACUUUGUAAUUGCUUUCCCUGUUUUGCCUUUUUGUUUGUUGUGAUUGUAUUUUUAUUGUAUGGCAUCAAGCCAAAAAAGAGAUUCAGCUGCUUUUUGUAUGUAAAUUGAAUAUGUUUUAUUUUUGUGUGAGAUUGCUCUCAAUUGAAAAAAGCUUGCACUUCGCGUCACUCUCACUUCAUGCCCUUCUCGCUUUUUUCCACGUAAUGCUCUCCAAAACACUGCUUAUAGUUUUUGGUUGAAUGUCACUCACUGCUUUCAAACUCCCGUCAACCGGGAACUGGCUAUUGCAACUAGCGCCAGCCUUGAUAUCGCUUGAGACCAAGGGUAAGUAACCCGGUAAAGUUGUACUAGAAAACGGUCUGAUCUCCAUUGCAAGACAACAAGGAAAUCCCUUUCUUUCUAGAGGUAUCCAAAAAUGUGAUAAUUAGAUUAUACUGCUCUGAGCAAGUAGCAGUUACAAAACGGAGAAGUACAGAUGCUUUACUAAAAUGACCGUAAGGGGCUUAAGUAUAUAUUGACAAUUGAAGCCUUAGCGCUUACAAAGAAUGAACACUCUAUCAAACUAAUAAAGGAUCACUCCUAUGUAAAGAUAAAGAGACUAUUGUUAGUUCAGACUCUGGUUCUCUGGUAUGUAUACCUCAAAUGGAAGGAAAUGCAGAAGUAUAUGGAUUUGAUGUAUUAUUCUCAACUGGAUCACUAAAACAGAGAGCUCUCAUUUAGACAUCAUCAACAUCUAACUUAUUUCAUUUAGACAUUAUCGGCUUCUAACGCACUUCAUCACUCAUUGAUUUUCUUCACAAGCACGUUGAUUUUCAGAUAUUGCCAAUUAGGCAUUUAGAUAAUACUCUACACGUAAUCCUUUUAAGUUAUUUCACAGAACCACAGCUAAUUACAAAAAUCAUUCAUCCCUACAAGAUUAGACUAACAGUGGUACAGUUUCACAGCAACAACAUUAAGUUCCAUCCUUAUAAAUGGCAAUGCAGGCAUUUACCUAGAGUAGUAUAUACGAGUUUUACCUAGAAGUGGCAAUGGCCGGUUUGGGCUAAAUUUGGACGGGUCAAUAUGGGUUGAGUAAAUAAAUGCGUCAUUGCUCAAUCCUACCCAAAGGUUACUUGGGCUAAGAUUGGCUAGGUCAAGAUGGGCUAAAGCAAAGGGGUCAAUGCCCAACUUCAUCCUCCUUAUCUGUUUUAAUGCAUGAUUUUGUCCGUGCUUUACAUUUUUUCAUACGCAUAUAAAUUAGAUGAAAUAUAGUUAAAAUUCAUGAGGCACAAACAUACAUUUAUUAUACUGUCCUUUUUAAGAAUAAACUUGAAAAGAAAACUUCAUUACUCUCAUUUUGUGAGACAGGUCCAUAUUCUAAGAAUUAAAAUCCAAUCUCAUAAGUACAGCACCAUUAAUUUUAAAAAAAUUUGUUAAUGUGUCAUAAUUGGUUCAUGAAGUAAUUUUACAUUCAUUCUACUAACUAACCACAAUGAUAACUCGUAGACAUUUAUUGUUUUGCUAAUGGAAAUCUCAAUUAGAAAAAAACACCAAGUAGAUAACUAAUUUAUUUCUAACUUCAUUAUUAUUGAUUAAAAAGAAAAAGAAAAUAUUGAUAUUGAAAAAUAACUUCUCCCGUGAUUAAGGAAGAAAGUAAUAAUUGAUACGAAAGUACAUCUGACAAAUUAAGAGAUCAAAUGAAUAACUAUUUGUGAAGUAGCAGUGAUGCUAUUCACAGGUCAGUUGGGCAUAAACUUUGAGUCGCUUUGGGCUAUUAAAAAACAUGGUUUAGUUGGGUUGUACCCAAACUUAGCCCAUCAUUAGGGCAAUCGAUGCCCAAUCCAUCAUAACUUGGGCGAGUUGGUGGGAUCAAAGGGGUUUGGGCUGAAUUUUCCAUCCCUUGUUUUACCUAUCAAAUUAUAACAUUUACGGAAAAGGAUCAUAAAACAGACAAAAUAGAAAUAAGUGAAUUAACUUGAGAGAUGUGAAGAAAUAAGUUUGAGAUAAAAUCAGAAGUUUAAAAAUGCAUUAAGUGCAUGCAUACGUGGAACAGCUCCCAACGCCUGUGUAGCUGGAGCAAAUAUUGCCUUGUUUACUACUACAGUUUCUAAUCUACCAGAAACUGGCAAACGGUAAACAUUCUUCCAAGCUGAGAGUUUGGCAGCUCUUGUGGGAAUGUGGCGACAAUAUUUAUAACAAGAUUUUCACCGCUGAACAUGUAUUCACAAGAGGAAUUGUUGAUGAGGCCAAUAGACAGUUUAAUUUGUAUUACCAUGUUUGUCAAGAAAACAAGCACAUAACAGGUAGACAAUGUCAUAGAAAUCAUACUAAUAUUGGCCGCUGAUGUCUUUAAGAUCCAAUAGGAUAGGAAAGGUUUUUUCACCUCACUAGGGCGGCAAAGCCAUAUGUUGGCCAUCCAAUUCCAAAAAGAAAUACAUUAUCUUUUGAUAGACGUUUGAAUGAUGUUAACCAUAGCCAUUUGAUCUCUUCUUGUUAGAAAAAAUGGUGAUGCCACCAAGUUUUAUGAUUAAUGGUAUUUUGUUGCAAAAAAAAACAAAAGUUCAAGAGUGUGUUAGCACGCGUUAUGCCAACUUGUUACCAGUACUAGCAUAAUUCUAAUUAAGUUAUCACCUAACCACCUUAUGCUACUGAACCUAGACAUAUUCUACCGGGACAAGUGAAAACCUCAACAAAAUUUUUAGCCAAACCCCUCCCCUGUUAAGCUUUUCUUUUGGGCCUUCAAAGAUCAAAAGAUAGACGAAAACAAGAUCUUUUGACAAGUUAUUCAACAUGCACAAGUACUAAUCCACCCUGACAUUCAAAACAAAGCCUGAUGGAAGGCUAUUCUAUAUAGUUCCAAAAAUAUUGCACAUUUGCAUAUCAUUGCAAUAGGUCGCUAUAAGAGAACAAUUAAUCUUUAGCUGUUUUACCAUACAAUCUUCAAAAGCGCCAACUUCUUAUAAGAUAGACCGAAAUUUGAUUUCUGUUACAAAUGUUAAUCGAUAUAAUCAAUGCAGCACCUCUGUACUUGAAAAAUAAAAAGCUGGAAAUAUCAAAGGAGCAAGCAUAUAUACCGAAAUUUUUUUCGAACAAUGCAAUGCCAAGCAGGGUCAUACUUCUUGUUGAAGUCCUUCUUAAUAUGUUCUGCUACAUCCUUCUCUACAUUAUGCUUCUCAAAUGCCUAAAAUAUACAUGGAUACGAACUAUCUAUAGCCAUGUCAAUUUAUCAGCGUAGAGACUUCAAAUUCUGGACCCUUCAUGACAAUCAAAAAAGGACACAUGUCAUAUUUUGGUCAAGAAAUGCACUUUUUGCCCAUUAAAUCAAAGAUACCAACUUAGACAAUAAAUAGAGAACAUUCAGUCUAACAGUCACAAAUUCAUUACUUAUAAAAGUGGAAUCUUCAUUACAAACAGACGGAAGCCCUCUGUCGGGGAAAUACACUGUUUACACCUCUAAUCAGAGAAAUAACUUAGAGAAAGACAAUAAUCAGGAGAUAUUAUAAGUCUACUCAAGUAUUCCUUUAUUAAAUUGAUUAAUUCGUGAUUUCAGUUACUUAUUUUCUUCACUUCGAAUAUCCAUCGUGAAUAAUCAGAAGAUUUGAACUCAAUAGUUCUAAAUGGAAUGGCAAAGAGCGAAAUAGUAUACAGCAAUAGCGAUGUCCUUUCGUUAAUCCAAUUGGUUAGUUCAUGAUUUUUGUUAUUUAUUUUCUACUCCCUCCGUUCACUAUUACUUAUCACGUUUUGCUUCACAAGAGUCAAUUUGACUAAUCUUUGAAGCUAAAUUGAAUUAAGUUAAUUCAAUAUUUAAAUUCAUAAUUUAAAUGUUCGAAAACUAUAUGAGAAAUACGAUAAGUUGCAAUCUUUACCAUAAUGAAAAUAUAUCUUAAAAUAUUGGUCAAAGUUCAUACAUUUUGACUCUCGAGAAGCAAAAUGUAACAAAUAAAAGUGAACAGAGAGAUUAAUUUCGCAUUCCUUCAUGAAUAAUCAACAAUUUUGAACUCAAUCGUACUAAUGCAACAUCAAAGAGGGAGAGACUAUGCAGCAAUAGCAAUCUUAACAGCUUCAUUCAGGACAUCAGUUUCCAUAUCGACAUUUUUAAUGAUGAAUUUAGAUAUUCGAAAACUGUAUAAAAAAACACUAUACGUCACAAUCUUUCACAUAUCAAUACAAUGAAAAAAUACACCUUUAGUCAAUGUUCAUUCAGUUUAACUCUCGAAAAGCUAAACGUGACAAGUAAAAGCGAAAAGAGAGAGUAAUCAGCAAUUUUUAACUCAGUAGUUCUAAAUGCAACCUCUUUAGAACAUCAGGUUCCAUAUGGGCACUUUUGAUUAUGAAUUUCGAUGUUCUAAAACUACAUAAAAAAUACUAUAAAUCGCAAUAUCACUCACAUUAAUACAAUGAAAAACAUAUUUUAAAAUAAAAUAUUGAUCAAAGUUCAUACAAUUCAACUCUCAAGAAACGAACUGUAACAAGUAAAAAUGAAAGCUAUUAAUUUUUACUUUCUUACUGACAUUAUAAGUAGUUGAAUUCGAAGAGAUUUUUCGAUCAUCGUAGACCGAUGUCUUCUUGUUUUCAAUCACUUCUCCUUUUGAUGAUGAAUUUAGAAGUUCGAAAACUAUAUAGUAAAAAAUAUUAUAAGUCGUUCUUACAUUAAUACAAUGAAAACACAUUUUAAAAUAAAAUGUUGUUCAAAUUUCAUACAGUUUAAUUCUCGAUCAUCCAACUGUGACAAAUAAAAGUGAACGGAGCGAGUAAUUUUAACUUUCUUACCGACAGUAAAAGCAGUUGAAUUCGACGAGAUUUUUCGAUCAUCGGAGACUGAUAAGGAAUUUCGAUCGUCGGACAACGACUGAACCAAAGCAACUCCGACUCCGACACCGGUUCUCUUCUUGUUUUCACUCAUUUCUUCGGUGAAUUUAGAUGUACAUUAAUACAAUGAAAAACACAUUUUAAAAUAAAAUGUUGUCUAUAUAAUCGAACUGUCACAAGUAAAAGUGAAGAGAGCUAGUAAUUUUGACUUUCUUAGCGACAGUAAAAGCGGUAGAAUUCGAAGAGGUACUUCCGAUCAUCGGAGUCCGAUAAGGAAUUCCGAUCGUCGGACGGCUACUGAACCACAGCAGCUCCGGCUCCGACGUCGGAACUGAAAAAUGUUUCGGCCGGCGUCCGGACAGCAAAAUAAAAAUAGAUACAUGUUGUAGUUUUGUUUAGUUAAUGCUUGUUUAAUUAAUGCUCACUACGUAAAUAUUAUAAGAAUCAAAAUGAGAAUUUAUCAUGAGAAUCAAAAUAAGAAUUUAUCAACAAUAGAGGAACCAAGGGUGUGUUUGGUACGAGGAAAAUAUUUUCUGGAAAAUGUUUUCUAUUUUCCUACUUUCAUAACAACUCAUUUUUUCAAUUUGAGGGAAAAUAACUUUCCUCGUGGAAGUCAUUUUUCAGAAAAUGACAAAUGUAACUUAUGAUCCCACCCGCAUCCCUCCUUCCCACCCCAACAACACUCAUAUUCACAUGACUUAAAAAAAAAUUUAUAUUUCUUAAAAAUUUACAUUACUCGAAAAUAUUUUUCACUGUGUUUUGCUUUAAUUUUUCACUGCUUGAAAUAAAAAAUAGUGAAGCCCGAAUUUUUUCCAUUUUCAAUAUUCGUUGAAUGUAUUGUUAUUUUUAUAUGCAUAAAAGAAGACUUACCUAUGUUACUUUUGCUAAUUGCAUAUUUCAUUUUGUCAUCAAUGUAACUUGUUUUACGAGGUUGAAUAAGCUUGUCGUUCCGUUAUAUUUCUAUUGAUUGUAGUAUCUUGAGGUUGUCUUGACAAAAUAUUGAAAAGUGUCUCAUAUAUUUGCUAAUUAAUAGUUUCUUAAAUUUAGUGAUUGUAAUAUUUUAGUAUUCGAUAUUGAUAUUAUUUGUUAUGCUUAAAUUAGUUCUUACAAAUUGUUGAGUUGCUAGAGACACAGAUAUACUAUUUAACAGUUAGUAGUAUUUUCUAAAAAAAAUAUUUUUUUCAUUCACCAAUCAAACACUAGAAAAUAUUUUUCUAAAAAAUAGUCUCUACCCACCAACCAAACACCAUAAAAUAUUUUUCACUCACCAACCAAACAUGAGAAAAUAAGUAGAAAACCAGCUUAUUUUCCAGAAAAAUAUUUUCCAAGAAAACAUUUUUCAUGGAAAAUAUUUUCCAUCAUACCAAACACACCCAAAAAUGAAAUCAUCCCUUUUAUGAUGUUAAAAAUUUGGACCUCCAAAUGUUUUAAUUUUUUAUAUUUUGAAUCUCUAUAGUAAAAAUUUUAAUUCCGUAGCUACGUUAAUUAUUACAUCUUUCGUUUGAUAUCAUUAACAAAUAAUUAUUGAUAUGACUAUUUUAUCAUAUUAUCCUUAUUAAUUGAUGUUUAAAACCACUGAUUAGAAGACUAUUUUUGCAUAUAUUUUGUAUUGAAUCCGCUAGCCAAGUGUCUAGAGCUAUUUUUUUUAUUAAUAACAAAACAAACCUCAAAGAAUUCGUUAGGUAGGUGUAUAGAGCUAGUUUUUUAUUAAUGAUAAAGCAAAUGUUUAGCAUACAGAUUAUCAAAAUACGACAUCAUCUGACCCAAUAUAAUACAACUGGAAUCUAGAGAAGGUAGCGUAGUAAAGAAAGUGUUUUCAUUAGAAGUUUUUCGAAACAGAACACCAUAACUGAAAGAAAGUUGAAGCAAUAACAAAUUUUAGUAAAUAGUAGUAUUACAUUAGUGGUUGAUUCAAACAUCUGUCUUUUGAUAAAAGAACAAAUCGGUUGUGUGAAAGAACACUUAGAUCACAUAAGAUCGUUAUUCGGCAAUGUGGAGCAAGAAUUGCAUAGAGAUCUCUAGACUCAUGUUCAAAUGUGGCAUAUGAGGCGGAACAUGCCAUUAACUUAGUUCUUGCUAGAGAUCAUGGUCUCUUGCAGCUUAUCUUCUUACUUCCUGAUACUGUAGAAAGAUCAAGCUUAUAAAAAACAAGGUACAAGAGAAGAUCCCCAAGAACACGAGUAUCAUUUUUGCAAACGCUCCCAAAAAGUCAGUUAUAAACAAGUCAUCAAUAGCUGGUAAAAUAAUUGUAGGCUUUGAGGAGGAGACAAAAAGGAUACAAUUUUAGAGAUUUGAGAUUCUUGAAGGUGAGUUCUUCCGUGUUCCAUUCUUUGCCACAGUGGGUGCAUAAGAGAUUGUUCUUGCUAUUGUCAUGUUUGCUAUGUGAGUUUGAGGUGACAUUUUGACUGUGAUACCUCAAUUCUCUCCUGCUACUUGACUCUUGACCGUUGAGAUUUGUUAGAACUUGAGCAGAGGUAGUCCACUUAAGAGCCUUCUCAAGCUCAGUCUUAACCCAAACUAGUUUCCUCUCAUGUUCUGAAUUUCUUUCAAGUGAAGCCGUCAGAUCAACCUUAACUUUAGACAAUUCUUCCUCCAGUUCAAACUGUAUCCCACUUCCCUCACUCUUCCCUUUUGAAUCAUGCUUAGACAUUUCACUAAGCUUCUCAUUUAUAAGAUCAUUUUCAUGGGGAAGUGACUUACCUGCAGCCUGAAGCUCAGCCAUCUGCACACUCAAUUCAACUAAUUCUUCCUCACGUUUGUAAAGAUCCUCCUUCAAAUUUGUCUUUUCUUUCGUGAGCUCAGUCAGUGUACACUUAGUUUAAUUAUUUAUUCCUCUCAUUUGUCUAGAUCUUCCUUCAGAUUCUCUUUAUCUUGGAUGAGAUCAUUUACAAUGUCAAUCAACACAGCAACAAGGGAUUUCAACCUCUUAGGAGAGUAAUCCUUGAGAUUGUCCUUAAUAUCCAGGAGUAUUACCUAAUCAUCUUCAUUAUCAUUUGUAUCUGCCAUUAAAGCAAAAAGAGAAUCAAAGACCUGGACAUCAUCUUCCAUCAUCAUCAUGGACACACUUUCUCUUUGUUCUGAUUCAUCUGAAUCCUAGAGGAGUCACCCCAGGCUGCCAACACCUAAUUUACAACUUUGUCAGCUUCCACCUUCCUACUGUACUUGUUAAGGACCAUUUCCUUACCCUUGUCUUUUUCAACAACUUUCUUUACAUACUCCUUACGCUUAACCUUUUGCAUAAGGCAAUCUUUGAUAUAGUGACCCAGCCUUCCAUAUUUGUGACAAGUGUCAUUUGUUUUUCCAUCUCUGGUGGGUCUGCUGGAUUCUCCUCUUCUAGGGAUAGUUUUUGAUUUCCUCAAAGCCUUGAAGACCCGUUUGGUGAUGUAGGUAGUUUCAUCAUCCUCAGCCCUUAUACUCUUCUUAGUUGCCUUUAGUACCAGUUUCUUCUCUCUCUUGAGCUCACCCUUGGAUUUGUCCUGCAUCUUCAUGAUCUCAUAUGUCUUAAGAUUGCCAAUCAGCUAAUCCAUUGUCAUACUUUUUUAGUUCCUGGCUUCAGUGAUUGCAUUUACUUUGCUUUCCCAUUGCUUGGGGACUCAAAAAAAUUUAAACUUGUUUGGUGGUUCUUAUAUCCUCACCUAAAUAGUGAAGAUCAUUGGUAAUUGUUGUGAAUCUUGUGUGCAUCUCCUGAAUAGACUCUCUUUCUUUCAUAGUGAAAGUUUCAUAUUGGGUGGUUAGCAUGUCCAACUUUGACUCUUUCACCUGACUUGUUCCCUCAUGGGUUAUUUGAAGGCAGUUCCAGAUAUCUUUGGCAGUCUCACAAGUAGAGAUCCUAUUAUAUUCAUCAGGACCAAUGCCACAAAUAAGUAACUUUUUAGCUUUGUAGUUCUUCUCAAUCUUCUUCCUAUCAGAGUCAUCAAACUCCUUCUUAGUUUUGGGAACUUGUACAGUCACUUCACCAUCCUUUACUGACUUUGUGGGAAUGAAAGGACCAUUUUCAAUAACAUCCCACGUCUCCAAAUCUUCAGGCAUGAUAAAGUCAUGCAUCCUAGUUUUCUAUCACCUAUAAUACUCUCUAUUGAAUCUAGGUGGUCUAGUGGUAGACUGACCCCCCCCCCACGAAAAGUAAGAAAGUCCGCAUAUUUUGACCAAUUCAAGGUGAAAAAUGGGGUUCAAGAUCCUUUCAAGGUGUUAACCUAAUUCAGGAAGACCCCGUUCUAAUAUUAGUUAAAGAGUUCACGUGAGUUGUUCUCCAACUUUGGGACCUGAUCCAAACAGACUUAAACAAUAAGAAAUUGAAUAGUAAAGUACGUAAAAGAGAGAGUAAAGGACAUAAUAAUUUUAUGUGGAAACUCCUUGCUCAAGGAAGAAAAACCACGACCUGCAUUCAGAUUUCUAAGCUCCAAUAAUAUUCAAGCAACUUGAAUACAAAUCCAUUACAUCAAGGAUUAACUUCCUAAUCCUUCUUCUCCUAGUAAUACCUUUAUUACAAAGAGAAAUUUGCAGUAACUCUACUGCACCACUACCCAGCUAACUGUAACUAACUAAAAGCUAACUCUAGCUUUAAUAUCACCUAACUCUAGAUGAGAAAAAAGAGUUUGAAGUAAACGCACCAACACCUACUAAUAAGGAAAUAAAUACAACUUUGUGAGCUAUCAGUUUCUUGUUGCGAAUAAGUCAUUGAUUCAAGAGCUUCAAGAGAGAUAUGUUGUUGUGAGUAUAUGGAAGCCUUGAUUUUCUUGUUGUGGAAGAUGAUCAAUGUAUAUAUAACACAAGACAACCUAGGAUGAAUCCCAUUGGCCGAGACAAAAAAGGUUGCAACAGCUUUCCACCAAUCUUUGUACUUUCGUCCAGCUAUAUAGUUGAUUGAGACAGCAACGUGUAGGCCCAACCAGGUCCCUAAGUAGUUACAGCUUUGUCAUCACACAUUGAACUAGGUCCCAACAUGUAAUUUGUCAAUCAUCAAAACUAAGGACUUAACAUCAUGUAUACCGUCAAAGACCGGAGGCAUUUGACAUAAGGAUUUUUCUUUACCGGAUUGAGCAAGAAAAAGUUUACAUCCGAAUGAGGUAAAUGUUGAUCAUAAUGAACAGUCAUUCCACGUGGCAUUAGAUUUGAUGAAGACGAUGACAGACCACUUGGACUUAUCAAACAAAGAUCAUGCACAAGAUCAUGAAUUUGGAAAUGCGAGUAUGCACCUCUCUCUUUGGAAACUACUACCAAGAUACUGCUAAUCAACUCAUCCACAUAAACCUUCACCUCAAACUGUUCCAUCUGUUAGCAAAGGCAGGGGUACUAACAAAGUGCACGACAGGGUAGCAGCGGAAGAAUAUCCAAGUCUAACUCUCCCUUAUAAUUUGAACCAAGAGGAGACUAACAAACCCAAGCACAAUAGUAUAUGAAAGAAAUAAUUCAACCAAAUAAAUAUGACAAGACGAGAAUAAAAUCAAUAACAAGAGAUACCAAAUUUACAUAGAAAACCCUUCGAUGGGAAGAGUAAAACACCACGGGACCAAAACCUCCACUAUAACCAUCAAGAAUUACAAUAUUAUUCUCCAAAAUGGCCACAAAACAAGUUUCAAAUAACGAGCAACAACACAACAAAAUAACACCAAAACUAGAGAAUAAAAAGGAGCACAAACACCAAAAAUGUAGCUGCUGUCCGGGAAUAAAAAACAGGAGCUAUAGACCAUCAAAUUCAACCCCGUCAGUUUUUAAUCAAAGAUUGAGAUGAGAGGAACAAGCUGUCCAAAAAUUAGCUCAAUCGGACAAGAAACGAAGCAAAAAUCGUAAUUUGAAGUUGACUGCUGUGACUGGAAUUUUAGUGCGAAAAUCUAACCUAAUCUCUUUUGUGGCUGCUAAGAACUCUUUUGUGGAUGUGAAAUAAGACCUAAAAAGUUCUCUCUCUCUACAUAUAUAUAUAUAUAUAUAUCCUAGUUUUUCACCACUUAUAAUACUCUAUUGAAUCUAGGUGGUCUAGUGGUAGACUGACCCCUUCUUCAAGAUUUGGAGGACCAGCCAUGUUCAAGAUCCUUUCAAGAUGUUAACCUUAUUUAGGAAGAUCCCGCUCUGAUAUCAAUUAAGGAGUUCACGCGAGUUGUCCUCCAACUUUGGGACCUGGUCCCAAACAAACUUAAACAACAAGAAUAGUAAAGUACGUGAAAGCGAGAGUAAAGGAUACAAUAAUUUUAUGUGGAAACUCCUUGCUCAAGGAAGAAAAACCACGACCUGCAUUCAGACUUCUAAGCUCCAAUAAUAUGCAAGCAACUUGAAUCAAAUCCAUUACAUUAAGGAUUAACCUCCUAAUCCUUCUUCUCCUAGUAAUACCUUUAUUACAAUGAGAAAUUUGCAGUAACUUUACUGCAUCACUAUCUAACUAACUCUAAUUGAGUAAAAGCUAAUUCUAACUUUAAUAUCACCUAACUCUAGAUGAGAACAAGGAGUUUGAAGUAAACACACCAAUACCUACUAAUAACAAUGACAAACAAUAGGCAACAUUUAAGACCACCAUACAAAAACUCAAAUACAAUAAGAAAAUAAAAUACAACUUUGGGAGCUAAGAGAGAGAGAUCUUUCUUAUAAUACAACUUUGGGAGCUAAGAGAGAGAGAUCUUUUUAGGUCUUGUUUCAGACCAUACAUGUCAUAUAUAUAUAUAUAUACACACACACAUACAUAUAUUUAUAUAUAUAUGCCCCAUAGUAAUGGGUCUAUCGGCAAAAGUGGGUUGGUCCAAACUGAACUUUAUUUAUCCACAUAGGAAGGGACAAAGACCCAUAUCCCAACACCAUCAGAACCUUCACGGGUCGUGUUGUCCGUGGGACAGAAUAAGUAAGGAUAUCUCAUGAUAUUAUUUUAUCCACCUUUUAUAUGAGAUAGUAAUCCCGCCAUUUUAGUACAAAUAUUGGGAUAAGUUAAUACCUCAGACCAUACACGUCAUAAAUUUAAUCUCAAAUUUAUACAUGUCAUAAAUUUAAUCUCAAAUUUUAUUCCGAAAUUGUUAUCGUUAUCCCACAUAUCCAAUGACCCCAUAUGACCAAAUAGGAAUCCCACUAAUCAAGACUUAUCACUAUUUGAGAUUGUAUUGGAUUUCAAACAAAAGGUUCUAAGUUAGUGGGCUUAUCUUAACAUUUUUACAAUUGUAUUGGAUUUCAAACGAACGGUUGUAAGUUCUAACAAAAGGUCUAUUGUAAUUGGAAAGCUACAAGAUGUGUGUUUGAUUAGAUGAGGUUCCUAUUUGGUUUGAGCUGGAAAGGGUAAAUAACUUUUAUGUGUAGCUGAUGUCUUUUCCUUUUAGUCAAUAGAUAUGAUUUGUGAAAUCUAGUUUAUAAAUAAUCACGUGAUGAGAUGCACGCGUGCUACGUGACAAAGCUCGUAACAUAGGUACGGAAUGUUUCCCCUUUAUCGGACGCAAAUCCGAAUUAGUUGAGCGUCAAAAUAAAUGGAAAAUAAAAAAAAAGGAAACAAGGAGGUACACUCGAGUCAAUUUAACAAUCAAAGAAGCAAACCAAAGGAAUCAAUCCACCUUAAUGGGCUCAUUUUAUCACCUCCACAGCUUUAUUAUGAUUCCUUUUUUCCACCACAACUUUAUUUAGUAUGAUACAAUAUUGUGAAUGUGUUUUCUGAUUCUUUUUUCUGUUGUUGAAGUUCCUUAUUAGCCAUUUACUUCAACUUCUCUCUCAUUCCCAUAUUUUACUAUUUUGCACAACUUAACCUUGGCUGUUUUUGCUGAAUUUUAAAGGUAUGAUAAUAUAUAUUCUUCAACCUCUCUUAUUUUAAAAUAUGAUAGAAAUUUUUGUUGUGUAAAUUUAAAUUAUUAGGCUUUAAAUAAAUGCAUAAACAAAUUCAUAGCACAAUCAAAUCUAUCUAUAACGUCGUUGUUUGUCUGAAUAAUUUUGGGCUGCUACAGUGAAAUUGUGAUACAGAGAACAUGUAGUAGGAGUUACAUAAUACGAAAAAUCGGUUCCAAAUAUUCUUUUUUUUUUUUGGCCGUUGUAGUAACAUGUUGUUAUAUAAGAUGGUUGGUAUAGAGAGGUCCGACUGUAGUAACAAAUACAACAUCCAACAUGAAGAACAGUACUUCAAAUGCAGGUUCCUCUGACCCUGUAUUUAUUUUUCAUCUAGUUACUACAAAUAAUUAAAAAAAGAUCAAGGUUGACAUUACUAUUUUUUCACCCUGAUUUAUCUGUUUUAUUUGAUUUUGUGAAAUUAAAUACCAUUUAUAAACAACUUUAAAAAUAAAAAGUAUGACAUGCUCAUUAAAAAAGAGGUGAAGUGAGAAGAAGAAUAAUAACAUGCAUGGACCCACAAUGUGCACUUGUCAAUUAAUGAGAACCUCAUACAAAUAUGACAUGGCGUACCUCACCCAUCAUAAAAUUUUCCGUCCUUAACAAACUCGAAAGAGUUUAUGCUGAAUUUGAGUGCUUCGAGCGUACACACGUAUACAUCAGUUUGAUUUUCACUUCCCUUCGAACUUGAAAAAAAUGUGUUUGGAUGGCUUCAAUCUGACAUCAGAUGCAUUGUCAGGAAUUGGGAGAUCACUACCCAACCUUCAAAUGCUGAUACUAUUUAGAGAAAGCAUCCAGGGUGGAAAAGAAUGGAAAAUGGAACAAGUCACCUUCCACAAUCUCAAAUCUCUACAAGUGUAUGAGGUGUCUUUUUAUGAAUGGCAGGUUACUGCAGAUGAAUCCUUUCCUGUGCUCGAGAUAUUAGAAAUAAUAUAUUGUAAUGAGCUUAUAGAGAUCCCAGAGAGUUUUGGAGAUAUUGCUUCAUUAAAGUCCAUCGGAGUGUGGGGAAGCCCUCAGCUUAAAGAGUCGACACUUAAGAUUAAGGAAUAUGUUGAAGAAAUGAUGGGUGAAGAAAAGCUUAAGGUAGAAGAUACUUGUUGGGAUCGCGUGUAACUCCGCACUAGUAUGAGAUUGCCCGUUUUGGGCCAAGCCCUCACGGAUUUGUUUUUGGGCAUCUCCCAAAAGGCCUCAUACUAGUGGAGUUGGUUGACACUUUAAAUAUUGGACAUGUUUCCUCUAUUUUUUCGAUGUGGGAUUGUAUUUGCUUCUCAACAAUCCCCCCCUUAAACCAAGACCACAUCACUUGUGACCUCCCGUUACCACCACUACCAACCAGUGGAACACGCCGCUUAACCAUCACUUGUCAAGAAGACUUUCGACACGAGGCAUCAACCGUAGAUCUCAACUAUUAGGUUACUUCACAUGAUCUGCCAAAUAUCUUGUACCGUCGUUAUCACUCAACGGGACACACCGCCUGACCACCACUCGCCAGGAAGACUUUGGACACAAGGCACCACCUGCAAAUCUCCAGUCUUUUCGUUACACCGAGAACUUCUCACCAACUGCAGUCACCACUCUGACACACCCAAACCUGGUCUCUGAUACCAUUUAUUGGGAUCGCGUGUAACUCCGCAUUAGUAUGAUAUUGUCCGCUUUGGGCUAAGACCUCACGAAUUUGUUUUUGGGCAUCUCCCAAAAGGCCUCAUGCUAGUGGAGUUGGGUGACACUUUAAAUAUUGGAUAGUUCCCGGGAAGGCAAGGCAGAAUGGAGUUGCUGAAAGGAUGAACAGAACAUUGAAUGAGCAUGCAAGGAGCAUGAGGAUACAUUGUGGGCUGCCUAAGACGUUUUGGGCAGAUGCUGUGAGCACAGCUGCAUACUUAAUCAACAGGGGACCAUCAGUUCCUCCGGGGUUCAAGAUUCCUGAAGAAGAAUGGACAGGAAAAGAGCUUAAGUAUUCUCACUUGAGAACCUUUGGUUGUACUUCUUAUGUUCAUGUUGAUCCAGAGAGGAGAGAUAAGCUUGAUGAUAAAGCUAUAAAGUGCUACUUUAUAGGUUAUGGUUCUGACAUGUUCGGAUACAGGUUUUGGGAUGAUGGGAAUAAGAAAAUCCUAAGAAAUUGUGAUGUGACAUUUGAUGAAAACGUCUUGUAUAAGGACAGAGAGCAAAAGGUUCAAGAAACUACAAAGCAAGUGGGAGUUGAUCUUGAGUUGCCGAAGAGUACACUCAAAGAUGUUGCAGUAGAUACUCAACAAACUUCAGAGACUGUCGUUGAGGAAACAGAGGUGGAACAAGUGAUACCUGAGCAAGCUGAGAGGAGACCAUCCAGGACCAUUAGAGCACCAGAUAGGUAUUCACCAUCAUUACAUUAUUUGUUGCUGACUGAUGAAGGGGAACCGGAGUCUAUUACUGAGGCCCUACAGGUGGAGGAUUCAAUCAAGUGGGAGCAAGCCAUGGAUAAUAAGAUGAGAUCACCUGAGAAGAAUAACACGUGGAUGUUGACUGAUUUACGUGGAUGUUGACUGAUUUACCUGCAGGGAAGAGAGCCUUGUUGAACAAGUGGGUGUUAAGAAUCAAGGCAGAACUAGAUGGCAAAAGAAAGUUCCAGGCUCGAUUGGUAGUUAAAGGAUAUUCACAAAGGAAAGGUAUUGAUUAUGCUGAAAUAUUUUCUCCUGUUGUGAAAUUAACUACUAUCCAAAUUUUAUUGAGCAUUGUUGCAUCAGAUAAUUUACAUCUUGAGCAAAUGGAUGUAAAGACUGCAUUUUUACAUGGAGAUUCGGAUAAGGAAAUCUAUAUGCAGCAGCCAGAGGGGUUUGUAGUUCCAAGAAAGGAACACAUAGUGUGCAAGAUUAACAGGAGCUUGUAUGGACUGAAGCAAGCACCUAGACAGUGGUACAAGAAGUUUGACUCCUUUAUAAGCAAAGGUGGCUUCCGCAGGAGUGAAAAGGAUCAGUGUUGCUACUUCAAGAAAUACACUGAUUCUUAUGUAUUUUUACUCUUGUAUAUUGAUGAUAUGUUGAUUGCAGGAUCCAGUAUGAAGGCGAUAAACUCUCUAAAGGCAAGCCUGUCUUCUGAGUUUGAGAUGAAAGAUUUAGGUGCAGCGAAACAGAUUCUUGGGAUGAGGAUUUCUCGAGAUAGAUCUGCUGGCACUUUGAAUCUAUCCCAAGAGAAGUACGUCGAGAAGGUGUUGUCCAGAUUCAGAGUUAAUGAUGCUAAAACCAGGAAUACUCCAUUGGCAAAUCAUAUAAAAUUGCCAAAGGAGCAAUCACUGAAGACAACUCAGGAGCGGUAACACAUGGGACUUAUUUCGUAUGCUUCUGCAAUUGGGAGUCUGGUGUAUGCUAUGGUCUGCACUAGAACAGACAUAGCACAUGCAGUAGGAUUUGUUAGCAGGUACAUGGCAAACCCCGAGAAAGAGCAUUAGGAAGCUGUGAAGUAGCUUCUAAGAUAUCUGAAAGGUACAUCCAGUACUUCACUUUGUUUUGGCAAUGGUGAAGUGAUUCUGCAAGGUUUUGUUGAUGCUGAUCUUAGUGGGGAUGUGGACUCAAGCAUGAGCACUUCCGGAUACAUUUACACCGUAGGUGGUACAGCAGUAAGUUGGAUAUCUAGGCUUCAGAAGUGCGUUGCUCUUUCAUCUACUGAGGCUGACUAUGUGGCAAUAGUUGAAGCUGGAAAGGAGAUGAUAUGGCUGGCAGAUUAUCUGGAAGAACUAGGCAAGAAGCAGCUUAAGAAAAUUCUUUACACAGAUAGCCAGAGUGCCAUACAGUUAGUGAAAAACCCGAUCUAUCAUUCGAAGACAAAGCACAUUAGAAGACGGUACCAUUUCACUCGCACUGCAGUGGAAGAAGGUGAUAUGUGGUUGGACAAGAUAGAGGGUGCAAAGAAUCCAGCAGACAUGUUGACUAAAUGUGUUAAUGUUGGUAAACUAAGGUUGUGCAAAACCUUAGUUGGCUUUCUGUAGUUGUGUCUAUAGAUGUUGCGGUGUGGCGAACAUGUUGAUGAUGGAGGAAUAUUUUUUAUUUUUUUUUAGAAUGUAAUUCUUGGAUGACGGAAUCAGUCUCCUGGAGAAUUGUUAGGUUGUGGAGCCUGAUUAAUAUGUGACGUACUAUUAUAUAUUAAUGUUAGGUAGGUUGUACCUUUUAUUCUCAUUCUCUGUGUAAUUGUACAUACUCUAAGUCGCUACCCACGGGUAUUACCAUACCUAAUAACUGGUAUGGUGUGUCGGAGUGGUGACUGCAGUUGGUGAGAAGUUCUCGGUGUAACGACAAGACUGAAGAUCUGCAGGUGGUGCCUUGUGUCGAAAGUCUUCCGAGCGAGUGGUGGUCAGGAGGCGUGUCCCGUUGGGUGAUAAUGGCAGUACAAGAUAUUUGACAGAUCAUGUGAAGUGACCUAGUAGUUGAGAUCUACGGUUGAUGCCUCGUGUCGAAAGUUUUCUUGACAAAUGAUGUCAAGCGACGUGUUCCACUGGUUGGUAGUGGCGAUACGGGGUUUUUUCGAUGUGGGAUUGUGUUUGCUUCUCAACAAUCCCCCCUCAAACCAAGACCACAUCACUUGUGACCUCCCCGUACUGUCACUACCAACCAGUGGAACACGCCGUCUGACCACCACUCGCCAGGAAGACUUUCGACACAAGGCACCACCUGCAGAUCUCCAGUCUUGUCGUUACACUGAGAACUUCUCUCACCAACCGCAGUCACCACUCCGACACACCCCGAGCCUGGGCGAACUUCUCUCACCAACCGCAGUCACCACUCCGACACACCCCGAGCCUGGGCUCUAAUACCACUCGUUGGGAUCGCGUGUAACUUCGCACUAGUACGAUAUUGUCCGCUUUGGGCCAAGCUCUCACAGAUUUGUUUUUGGGCAUCUCCCAAAAAGCCUCAUACUAGUGGAGUUGGGUGACACUUUAAAUAUUGGACAUGUUUCCUCUAUUUUUUCGAUGUGGGAUUGUGUUUGCUACUCAACAAUACUUGUAUUUUUUAAUUAGAAUGGAUGAGAUAUUGUAUGUAUGCACAAUACAAUAUUUUACUUAUAAUUUUUUCAUACAUGUAAUUUUCAUACCGCUACCGUGAGAAGGCAAACAGAUUGUUUCCGAUAAAUCACCCUUAACAACUUAACUCUAGAAUUCAAAUUCUCUAGACUCGCCUUUGAAUGUAGACCUAUUAAAGUUCCUAUACAAGAAGACUAUGGUAUAUCAUUUUUGUCCCAUUAAACGCGAACCUUAGAAAGUAAUUUCUAUUAAAUCUCUUAUCAUAAACUUUAGACCAUAAAUUUAUAGUUUUUCCUUUCUUAAAGUCUGUGCUUAAUUAAAUAAAUUUAAUCAUAGAAACUAAAGUAGAUGAAGUAAUAAACACUCACAUCCUCAGUGAGUAUAAAAUUUUGGACAUGUUGUUCCCAAAAUUUUUAUCAACAUUUAUUUUGGUCUAAUAAUACUUUUGGUCUUCAGUUAUUGAUAAAUUCUAAUUUAAUGCUUGUGACAACCUUCAAUCAAUUCGAAUGUACACUUUUAAUUCCUUUGCUAGUAACUACUCCCUCUGUCCAAUUUUAUUCGUCCCAAUUUUUCUUAUUUGAUUUCUCAUUUUACUUGUCAUUUUUUAUUAAUCAAGACAAGAUAAUUUUUUUUUCUUUUUUAUCCUUAGUAUUAAUUAUUUUUUCUCCAAAUUAAAAUGUAAACAUCAUUUAAUAGGAAUACUAUGAUAAAGUAGUCAUAUCAUUAAUUAUUUUUUUAAUUAAUGUGUAAUACCAAAUUGAGACGAGUAAAAUGAGACGGAGGAAGUAUUCAUAAAUUUAUUGUAACUAUUAAAUGUUUCUCUACUUAAUUACCAUGUGAUUUAUCAUGUGAUACAUUAAUCAUAUAUUUUUACUCCAUAUGAUAAUAGAGUUCUAAUUGUAGUACAAAUAAACCAUAUUUCUAAUUGUAAUGGAGUUUUGUAAUGCCGCGUGGGGUGGGGUGGGGUGGNNNNNNNNNNNNNNNNNNNNNNNNNNNNNNNNNNNNNNNNNNNNNNNNNNNNNNNNNNNNNNNNNNNNNNNNNNNNNNNGACGGGGUUGGGGGAGGGGGAGGGUAUUUUUUUAUUUUUGUAAAAAGUAUUAUUUUUUUAAUUUUUAAAAAUAUUUUUAAAUUUUAAAAACUGAAAAAAUGUUGGAUUUUUAAAAAAUAUUAUUUUUUUAAGUUUAAAAUAUUUUUAAAUUUAAAAAGUUGAAAAAAUGUGUUUCACUCGCCCAUACACGCGUGACUACACGAGCCUCAUCCUAGUUAACUCUUUUAAUGCCACAUAGGCCUAGUCAACAGUUAAAGGGUUUGAAAUAUUGCUUUUUAGUGGGUUUAGGAAUCCAGAUGAAAAACAUGUAAGUAGAAGUGUCCAAUUUACAAAAUCGAUAUAGUACAAGAGUCCAUCAAACCAUUUUGCCUAACAUAUACUUGAAAGACUGACGAAGACAUUCAUUCUUUGCAUCGAUUGGAGAAUCUUAAAUUAGAGUCUCACCAUCUUAUUCAUUGGUACGUUCCAAUCUUAAAUUGGAGUCUCACUCUCACCAUCUUUUUCAUUGGUACGCAAUUAAUUUAUUUUCUCCUAUUAUUUUGUUUAAACAAUAAGUCAAGUCAUUAUCAAGGCUAAAUAUAUGAAAUUGAAACUCAUAAACUUUAGAUUAGGAAAAUGAAAAUUGACAAAACCUUUUCGACUUGUCUUAAUUAAUUCUUGCAUAAUUGAGCACUUUUCUAUUAUAUCUCCUGCAAUUACCAAAAAAUCUCUCCACUUCCACUCAAUUACAUAUUAUGCCCCAAUAUAUAAUAAUUUUAUUGUUUCAUCUUAAUGGUUUAAAUAUUUAAUAUGUUCUAUUAAUUUAUAUUAAUUAACUAUAACUACAUAUUGGAAGUAAAUUUUUUUUUAUUUAUUUAAUUGACUAUCAUAUUCAAAACUAAUUUGUUACCACGAAUCACAAUAAUUAAUAACUUAAAAUAUUUAAAAGACAUAUAAAAAUUUUAUUGACUUAUUAUCUUAGCAAUGCCACAUAAAUUGAGAUAAAAGAAAAAGAACUGCUAAACAUAAUAAUUAACAACUUAAAAUAUUUAAAAGAUAUAAAAAAAUUUAUUUGAUUCUCAAAAUUGUAUCGAAGCCACAUAAAUUGGGACACAAGGAGUAAAUAUAUUAUUUGAUAAUUACGUAAAAAUUAUUAUAAAUCACAAUAAUUAACAAGUUAAAAUACUUUUUUAAAAAUAGAUAAAAGUUNNNNNNNNNNNNNNNNNNNNNNNNNNNNNNNNNNNNNNNNNNNNNNNNNNNNNNNNNNNNNNNNNNNNNNNNNNNNNNNNNNNNNNNNNNNNNNNNNNNNNNNNNNNNNNNNNNNNNNNNNNNNNNNNNNNNNNNNNNNNNNNNNNNNNNNNNNNNNNNNNNNNNNNNNNNNNNNNNNNNNNNNNNNNNNNNNNNNNNNNNNNNNNNNNNNNNNNNNNNNNNNNNNNNNNNNNNNNNNNNNNNNNNNNNNNNNNNNNNNNNNNNNNNNNNNNNNNNNNNNNNNNNNNNNNNNNNNNNNNNNNNNNNNNNNNNNNNNNNNNNNNNNNNNNNNNNNNNNNNNNNNNNNNNNNNNNNNNNNNNNNNNNNNNNNNNNNNNNNNNNNNNNNNNNNNNNNNNNNNNNNNNNNNNNNNNNNNNNNNNNNNNNNNNNNNNNNNNNNNNNNNNNNNNNNNNNNNNNNNNNNNNNNNNNNNNNNNNNNNNNNNNNNNNNNNNNNNNNNNNNNNNNNNNNNNNNNNNNNNNNNNNNNNNNNNNNNNNNNNNNNNNNNNNNNNNNNNNNNNNNNNNNNNNNNNNNNNNNNNNNNNNNNNNNNNNNNNNNNNNNNNNNNNNNNNNNNNNNNNNNNNNNNNNNNNNNNNNNNNNNNNNNNNNNNNNNNNNNNNNNNNNNNNNNNNNNNNNNNNNNNNNNNNNNNNNNNNNNNNNNNNNNNNNNNNNNNNNNNNNNNNNNNNNNNNNNNNNNNNNNNNNNNNNNNNNNNNNNNNNNNNNNNNNNNNNNNNNNNNNNNNNNNNNNNNNNNNNNNNNNNNNNNNNNNNNNNNNNNNNNNNNNNNNNNNNNNNNNNNNNNNNNNNNNNNNNNNNNNNNNNNNNNNNNNNNNNNNNNNNNNNNNNNNNNNNNNNNNNNNNNNNNNNNNNNNNNNNNNNNNNNNNNNNNNNNNNNNNNNNNNNNNNNNNNNNNNNNNNNNNNNNNNNNNNNNNNNNNNNNNNNNNNNNNNNNNNNNNNNNNNNNNNNNNNNNNNAUAUAAUAUAAUAUAUAUAUAUAUAUAUAUAUAUAUAUAUAUAUAUAUAUAUAUACACUAUGAAUAAAAAUUUUUAUGGUAUUUAAAAAAAAUAAAAAUUACUACAUAUACUCAAAGGACAAAAGAGUAAAAACACACAAGAGAUAAAUAUAGAGAAAUCAAGAAGCACCAAAUGGUUUUUUAUAGUUGUAACAUUCAACACAUUUCUAAAUGUUUUCAAAUUCUUCUUUAAUAAACACAUACACAUAAUAAAAAUAAUAAAUAAUUACAUUUUACUAUAUCACCCCUAAUUAAUUAUUAUGGUCAUUUAAGCAUUGUGCCACAUAAGUUGAAAUAGAAAAAAUAUUAUAAAUCACAAUAAUUAAAAACUUAAAUUAUUUUUAAAAUAUAAUUGACUAUCAAUGCCACAAAAAUUUGGACAAGAAAGUAACAUAUAUUAAUUUGAAAAUAACAUAAAAAAUAUUAUAAAUCACAAUAAUUAAAAACUUAAAUUAUUUUUAAAAUAUAAUUGACUAUCAAUGCCACAAAAAUUUGGACAAGAAAGUAACAUAUAUUAAUUUGAAAAUAACAUAAAAAAUAUUAUAAAUCACAAUAAUUAAAAACUUAAAUUAUUUUUAAAAUAUAAUUGACUAUCAAUGCCACAAAAAUUUGGACAAGAAAGUAACAUAUAUUAAUUUGAAAAUAACAUAAAAAAUAUUAUAAAUCACAAUAAUUAAAAACUUAAAUUAUUUUUAAAAUAUAAUUGACUAUCAAUGCCACAAAAAUUUGGACAAGAAAGUAACAUAUAUUAAUUUGAAAAUAACAUAAAAAAUAUUAUAAAUCACAAUAAUUAAAAACUUAAAUUAUUUUUAAAAUAUAAUUGACUAUCAAUGCCACAAAAAUUUGGACAAGAAAGUAACAUAUAUUAAUUUGAAAAUAACAUAAAAAAUAUUAUAAAUUACAAUAGUUAACAACUUAAAUUAUCUAAAUAUAUAUUAAAAUAACAUAUGUUGAACUGAUGCUAGAUUCCGGAUGAAUCCUAGAAAACAUAUGCAAUACUUUUAUUAAAAAAAUUUAUUUAAAUAUAUCAAGAUUGAAAAGAUAAAUAAAUAUCUUAAUGUUCGGCCCAUUCUAACACGGGUCAUGCUCCUCUAGUAUUUAUGAUAAGUACUAAUUAUUGUGUGUAAUAAUUAUUAUAUCAAUCAAUUGAUCUAACAAUUGCUCGAUAAACUGCUAAACCAAUAAAACUGAUUCAUAAUGAUAGAGUCUGAAAUUUUACUAAAGGGUUUAGACUAUGAAAAAGCAAACACAGAAAAAAGUUAAAGUAAACAUUUAUUGUGUGUAUAUUUUAACCAUAUAUAGACAAUAUAUUUUUUGAUAAAAGAGAUUGCGAAUGUAACAACUCGAAAAUAAUUACAUAGUCCAUGUUAAAAUCUCACGUGAUAGUUCUUGUUACGGGUUAAUACUGCUAAAAAAAGUCAAGAGUCAAUUGAAAACAACAUUGAAGAAGUUCGUUGUUUUAAACCAAAUUGACUACAUAUGGGCGAUGGGUUGAUCGAGAGGGGUGCAUGAGACAGAUCAAUAGUAAAAAACUUACACACACUCGAUGUAUAUACCAAGUCAAUAUAUACAUGUCACGUAUUUGAAUUUAAGGUUCAUGUUACUUAACCAUGAUUAAUUAACAUGUAUUUUACUUAAUUUAACUACUUAAUCAUGAUAUAUAUACCGAGUGCACGUAAAUUUUUACCAUCGAUCUAUCUCAUGCACCCCUCUCAACCCAUCACUCAUAUGUAGUCAGUUUGAUUUACUACAACGAACUUUCUUAAUGUUGUUUUUGAUUGAUUCUCGACUUUGUUUUACCAGUAUUAACCCGUAACAAAAGCUAUCACCUGAGGCAUUAACGUGGACAAUAUGACACCAAUAAAGUAGAGGACUCAUUCACCACUUUUGUACAAAACAACCAUUUCCUCUUUGUGUUCUUUAAUUAGUAAAUAGUGAUUUCCCAACAACCAUAAUAAUAAUUUUUAAAAGUUUUCUCAGUGUUCGAUAUUCGUAUUAGAUUUAAUUAUAUUUAAGUUCAUACAUUAUAAGAUUCAUUUCUGUGGAUAGUGCUUCUAAUAAUAUUUCCUUCAUUCCUAGAAAGUGAAACUUGAACCUUUUAAUUUAAAACGAAGGAAUUUCAACCAUCCCAUUACAUCUCGUAUCGAUGAAAAAGAAUUAUUUUAUUUAGUCUAGAAAAGAUGUUUUUUCUUUUUUUUUGGAUUUAAGUACUUCUUUAUAUCAAAUCUCAACACUCACAGGGUACAAAUUAGUACGUCUAAAACAAAAAAAUUCGUGCUACCAACAAAAAGAAUAGAGAUAUAUGCUUUGGAAUUAAAUUAUUACUAUAUGUUUAGAGUAUAACAAUUUUUAUAAUUAAUGUAGUUAGUCUAGAUAAUUAAUAGUAACAUAGCCAUAACAAAUUAAGAGCUCGUAUGAGUUAGGUAAUCCAGUAAAAAUAGUUGAUGAGCAUUGCGCGCUAAAAAAUACUUUUAAGUGAAUAAACAGUUACAUAUUUAGAUAAAAAUAUCAAAACUAAUAAUUAAUGGUUAGUGUAUAUGGUAAAAGGUGUUGAUAAUUAUUUUUCUAUUAAAAUUUAAAAUAACUAAAUUAUCCUUACAAAUCUUUACCUAAAAAUACUUUUUUCGUGAAAAUAAAUGGAAUAGAUAACAAAAAAUAGAAAAAAUAAAAGAGAAAUGCUAAUUAUAGAUUUAAUGGAUUCUCCUACCUAUCAGACUAAUCUUUUGGGUUGAAUUUUCCUGUUUGGUCUAUAACAAAUUGUUAUGGUCCAUUGUCCCACAUUGGUAUAUAAAUGUGUUGAUGUGGGACUUAUGUAGACUUGAAUUCUCCAAAUUCAAUAGCUAGCUUUCCUAGAUUGCAUCAAUGAUAUCAAAGUCACUUGACUCCCACAUCUAGUUGUGUCUAAUGCAUAACUGUCGAGGACAACGGAAUUUGUUAUGAUCUAUUCCAAGGUAUUGGACUUGAGUCCCACAUCAGCUUCAAAACAAGCUAAUAAGCCGAUAUAGGACUGAUAUAUCCUUGACCCACUUCAAUAGCUAGCUAGCUUUUGAGGUAUGAUUAUAUCCUUGAGCUUUUCCACUUAAUAGCUAGCUUCUGAGGCAUGAUUCUUCAUCGAUUAUAACAGUCUGGAGAGCUUAUUUUCCUUGCUAGGUUUGAGAAAAUUCUCGAUUAUAUUGGUCUAUAUCAGUCUGGAGAACCUGUAUUCCUUGCUAGGAUCGAGAAAAUUCUUGUCAGGUUUGGGAGACGGGUGCGGAGCGUGAUUGUUUGCUAUGGCCCAUUGCAAGGUAUGGAGCUCGAGUCCCAUAUCAAUACUACUACUUCUUCUUCUUCUUCUCUAAAACGGCGGCAUUUUAUUACUUCAGAAUAUGUCUUACUCAGAAUAUGUCUUACAUGUCCAUAAGAUAUCAUUGCAUCAUUUUCAAUCCAACAUGGGAAUCGAGCUAUAUUAUGAGCUAGCACAUUCCAAGCGCAUGGGAAUCGAGCUAUAUUAUGAGCUAGCACAUUCCAAGCGCGAGGGAUUAUACAAAGUAACAAUACCUCUAAUUGAUUCAAUAGCAUACUAUUGCAACCAUAACGACAACAUACCCAGUGUAUUCCCACAAAGUGGGGUCUGAAAAGGGUGAAGUGUACACACUCCAUACCAUUACCUUAGAUGAAGUAGAGAGGUUGUUUCCGAUAGACCCCUGACUCAGGACAGAUAACAGUAUAAUAAACAAAAAAAUAUAAAAGCAUACAACAAAAUGAGAUAACACACUGCUAGAUAAUAAAGGAAACAAGACACCCACAAGGUAAUAAUAUAAACUAUCUACUCGAAAUCAUAGACAACAUCAAAACACCAUGAACAAGAAACUGCAGGCACAAAUACAAACAAAGGCACUCUUCCUUACUAUUACGGACGAACUCCUACCCACUAAUCCUCUACUCUAAUCCGAAGAGUAUCACAAAAUAUGAAGAUCUUCUUUUCUCAAUUCUAGGAAUCAAGAAUAGUUUCAACGAAUAGUCCUACAGAAAUGAAAGAAGAUCCACCCUCCAUCUGUGCCUUCCUGCAAAUUUCUCCCAUAUCCUUGACUCUCUUCCUCAGGUGAUUUUGACUGUCCAUUAUGCAUCUUAUAGCUCUCUCCAUCUCCUCUGCCUUCACAAUUUCACGAUGAUCACUAUCGUGCAUCCUGUAAUCCAAUCUGAGCUCCAUUGCCAUCUCAAGAUCUCUCACCAAUUGAAACGCGUUCAUGC